AAUAAUAAAGUUGUUAAAAAAUAUAUUAGUAAUUCUUAUAGUAGAAAAAACAAAUGAUUCUGAUUAGAAUUUCUACUGUAAAUAAAGGCACUCAGAGGUUCGUUGGAUUACUAAAAGUUGAAGAAUUUUUUGCCUACUUAAAAAAUUUUACAACUGUUUACUUACACUGAUGUUGACAGGUACUUCUUCUUAGUUCUCUCUAAUUAUUAUAAAAUAAAAUAUUACUAGUACAUCCAAAAAGUUAGAAUUUGAAACUCUUUAAAUUUCUAGUAUUUAAAAAAAAUAAUUGUAAUAAGACGCGAGCCCUAUGAGCCCUUGGAUAUGUACCAGCAAUAUUUAUCUUAUUAUAAUUACCAAUUUACCCUUGGGUGCAUUUAGUUUAGGUUAUCUUAGCGGGAUUAAAAUCACCACAAAAUCACCAAAAAUGGUGCAAAUUUUUUUUUCGAAAAUAUUACCGAGCAGAAGGGUGGGUAUUUCAUAUUAUAUAUUGAUAGCAUACAAUUUUGCAUGUUAUACAAAAUUAUAAGUUUACCUCUCCAGCCUCUCCUCCCCAAAUCCUUUCAAUACAUCAUUUUUAUUUUCGCUCUCUCUCUUUCUCUCCAUCUUUACUGUCAGAAUUACAACACUUUAUUGCAAAUCAGAAUUAUUGAAUUUUAUAAACUGAAUCAAAUAUAGUAAUUUUAUAUAUUCUGUAAUCUAGUAUUAUACUACUGUAUUAAAUCAAACGCGGUAAUACAAUAUCAGUAGUAAUCUGGUUCAACUAACCGGUAAUUCCAUAACGCAAACUAAAUGCGCCCUUAAAAUAAACUACCUUUUCUACAAAUUGCACCAAGUGUCCAAUAUUUAAAAUUGUCUACAUCAGUACAUAAGUAAACAUAUGCAAAUUAUGUUGAAAAAGUACAACAAUACUAGAUAUGUAGCUAGGUUAAUUUUUACCAAAUUGAGAUAGACAACAAAGGAGAUACAUAUCAAUGAGUUGGCCUUUCUUCUUUUUUGCAGGUAUCAAUUAAACUCUUGCACUCUAUUGUCUCCAAUCAUCCUGAAGUUUGUGGAGUGUGGACAAAGUUUUAUGAAUGAGUAAAAUAAUUAAAAGUGUUUUCAAGGGGGAAAAAGUGAGUUUUAGUUAUAACCUUCAAUAUGUGAAAUGUAAGAGCACAUAGGUUUAAUUUCUUUAAAAUUAAUGGAGCUAGCACUCCCUCACGUGCAUAUUGGAUAUGGAGUCUGACUACUAUACUCUUAUGAGUACGAUCGCCCUCGUACUCAUAAGUCGUUUUUUAUGAUAGAGCUUCCGAAUCGACGAUUCAUAUCGUUAAACGUUAUCUAGAGCAUUUAAAACUUCUAGAAAUUAAAUUUUAUAAUUUUUCGACAUCAUUUAUCUUACGAUCAAAAGGUUACAAAAUUGAUAAUUUUUAACGGCCGGUAUGGGAUACUUUCUAGUUUAGCAGUGUAAAAGAAUCAGAAUCGAUUGAAUUUUUUAUAGAAAAUUCUAUUCGCUAUAAAGAUCAAUAACUCCGAUCGUAAAUUGAAGGAUCCGAUCAUCCAUUUUUGGACGUCGUUCGAUUUUGACCAUUCAUUUUAUUCUCACUUGAUGGACUUUAUUAUGAUUUCGAAAAAUUAUGAAAUUUAUUUUUUAGAAGUUUCAAAUACUCUAGAUCAUAUUUAAUAGAGUAGAUCGUCGAUUCGGAAGUUCCAUCAUCAAACUCAAUUUAUGAGUACGAUGGGUUUUAUACUCAUAAAAGUAUAGUAGUCCUACUCUUGGAUAUGAACGAUAUAUAAAAAUGAUAGGUGACAUACACAAAACAAAUGAAUUUACUAGAGUUAUCUCUUACACCGUAUCACUCAAAAAAUUAAUGUACGUAGUAGAAAACAGACUCACAAAUAUAUAUUUACAAUAUCGAUAGUUGUCCUAGCUAUUAAAAUAAAAGUUGAUAAAAUUUUAAUUUUUUUGGUGAUUUACAGAGUUUCUUUGAUAAUUUAUUUGAGAAUGAUGGUGCAAUAUACACAUGCAACAUUCUUUGAUAAGAACCCUCAAAUAACUAGAAACUUCAACCUAAGUAAUUAAUUAUAUUAACUAUUAACCCUUUAUCCUCGAACCAAUUUGAUUUAUAAUGAUAGUGAUACAACGAUUAGAUUGUGCAAAUUGAAAAUUAACUUAUCAUUAUCUCUAAUUAAUGUCUCUUUCAUGUUUUGUCCACAUUAUACACUGUCCAUCAUUUUCGCCCUUAAGCAUUGUCGGCCGAGUAGUUCACAUUUGGACAAUACAAGUUCACGGCCUUAUAUCCUAUCAGCAUACGUAGUAUAUUUACAGAAAAAGUUUUCUUUAUAACAUUAUAUUUUGGAUAUAAAUGUAAAGUCAAAAUUUAUUUGUGUUAUCAUUGCAGAUUCGUAACAUAAAAUUUACGGUCUUAUAUGAAUGAUUUAAAAACUCUAUACAAACUAUUUGUUAUAGAAAAAAUUUUCUCGUGAUCAGCGUGACACGUGGCACGUUUCAUGAACACACUGGAAAUUAAUGGAGUGCAUAUAUUGUGGGGUCCUAAUUAAAUCCGUACUCUAUGUAAUUUGAUCUCAACCAAAUUGGUCCCAUCAACUAUUAGUACACCCAAUUAAUGAAAGAAAAGGAAAUAAUAAUGUAAUUAAUAUGCUAAUGUUAUGUGGUCACCUCUUUAAUUUCCAUUACUAAGUGGCCAAAAAAAAAUUUAGUAAUAAGAUUUUUUUUAAAAAAAAACUUUGAAUUUAUGAUUUAAAUUUUAGGCACUUGGAUGAUUUGUGUCGAUACUUGAAAUAAAUUUUAAAUUAACAAUACAUAUAUGUAUGUAUACAUUAUUUUUAAGCUUGGAAUGAGGAGAAAAUACUAUAACUCGAGCGAAGUAAUAUUCAAACUACUCUUUUGUAAUAAUAUUGCGAGUCUAUUUUCAAUUUUCAAUCUCGAAUUACUAAUUCAAUUUUGAGUAAACACUAAUUAAGUUCAAAAACAAAAACCUCAACCCAAAAAAAGUGGAUUUUUUUUUUUUUUUUUUUUUUGGAAGUGGCUAUUAAAGGGAAAAAAAGAAAAAGAAAAAAGGAGAGGCCAUUGGGUUGGAUAAAUGAUAUCAUCAAUAGUAACACUACAAAAUGUGUGUUUAAUUUUUGGGGCUCAUAUUUAUGGAUUUGGUGUCCUUUCAUGUGUUGAGUCCCUUUAUAAGUGGACCUGGGCCAAAAUAAUACCUUUUCGUUUUAUUUUUCUUUUUUAAUUCUUUACUAUGUCUCUCUACCUGUACCUGAUUUUAACCUAGUGUAAUAAAUUUUUCUUUUUUUAACCCACAUAUUCCUGCAAAUAUGCGAAACAACGCAAAUUAUGCUGCAGAGUUGGUAUUUGCAUUUGCGUGUCUCAAACUAGAGCAGUUUGCGACUGAGAUAUCUACUACACACGUAGCUAAUCAUGCAUCUCGAGAUAAUACCAAAUCGGUCUUAAACUGAAUCUUCAUGUUUGAUUCGACAUGUACAGCUAAUAACUAAGAUUUCAAAUGAAUGUGUAUAGGAAAAAAAAAAAAUACAAAACAAAAUCAGCUAAUAUCUAAAAGGCCGCAUUCAUCAAAAUAGAGAAAGUCUUUUUAGUAACAAAUAUGCUAUGUGGAAAUAAGAACAUAGAAUCAAAUUAUCUUUUUUUGGAAUAAAUAUGUAAGUACAAUAAUUUUCUCUGAUGUUAUUUUAACAUAAAAUUAUCAUAUUACCCGUAUAAUAUCUUUUGCAUCUUAUACGAUUUGAUGAGAUUAAUCAAGUACAAAUUCUAUGCAGAAAAUUUGGAUUAGAUGGACGCGUGUCGCUUUCCGUAUGGGACGGCGGUGAAGAAGGGGCCACAAUCUCAAUGGCCCAUCAAAUGGCAGCCACCCGAAAAGUACGGGCCCGUUAUCUGUCGUAAAAGCCCACUAACAAAAUCAGCCCAUCAUCUUUCUGUGCAGCUUCGCGACGUAGUUUGGGAUUGCGAUGUCCAGAUAAUAAUUUUUAAGGCUUAGUUUGAGAUUGCGUUGCCAAAAGCACUGACUUUCAUGCUCUGCGAGAAGCUCAUGUCGAGAUUUUAGCAGAAGCAUUUCUUCUCACCAGUAAUCUCUGCAAGAACACGAACCCUCUCGGAACGUAUGGAAUCGACUGCGAUCCCUCACCACAAUCUCUCUCUUGUACACCUUCGAAAUCAUCUUCAUCACCGUAUGACAAUCGCGACAAACCCUCAAGUUCUUCACAAUCUUUAUCACCCCUUCCGCCCCUUUCGUCCUCGCCAUGCCGAACGCCACCGCGAGCUUCUCGCUGUGCCGCCACACUGCCUCCUUCUUCUCCUCCUCUUCUAUAUCAUGCAAAACCCCCGCGACCUCCGGAACAUAACCUUCCAUCCUUAUCCUCGCCAUCACCUCCGCGAGCUUCUUCUCAGCCUCCCUUUUCUCGCCAUCCAGCUCCUCAUUCGCCACAAAGGUGUACAAAACCUUAUCUACUUCGAUCGAGCUCCAUCCGGGAUCUUUGUUGAUCCUUUGAGCACUCAUCGAUCUCCUUACGGUCGCAACAUCCUUCCACUUCCCGGCAACCGCGUAUAUGUUCGAAAGCAAUACAUAGUCGCUCGACUCAUUUGGGUCGAGCGCAGAGAGCUGCUUCGUAGCAUGCUCCGCUAAACAAACAUUUCCGUGGAUACUACAAGCCCCGAGCAAUGUUCGCCAAAUCACCGCAUUGGGUUUCAUCGGCAUUCGCAUUACGAACUCAUACGCCUUGUCCAAAAGCCCGGCACGGCCAUAUAGGUCGACCAUGCACCCGUAGUGUUCAAUCGAAUGCUCGAGUCCAUAAUUAUCUGCCAUACUAUGAAAAAUUUCGUGCCCCUGUUGUACUAGACCUGCGUGGCUACAUGCGUAAAGGACCGAGAUGAACGUCACUCCGUCCGGGGUCGUUCCAUUUUGUUCCAUUUCAUCGAAAAGCUCGAUGGCUUUUUUUCCAUGGCCAUGCAUCGCGAGCGCGGCAAUCAUGGACGUCCACGAGAUGACGCUCUUCUUGCCCAUCUCCCAAUCGAACACCUGGCGGGCCAAGUCGACGCUCCCGCACCUUGCGUACAUAUCUAGAAGCACAUUCGAAACUGCGAUAAUACUGUUGAAACCUGUUUUCUCCGCGUGCCCGUGCAGCGUUUUGCCCGUUUCGAAGGCCCCAGCUUGCGCGCAUGCGGAGAGAAUCCCCGUCAAGCUAACUUCGUUCGGCCUACACCCCUCCCUCAGCAACUCUUUGAAGAAGCCUAUCGCAUCGUCAAAAGCACCGUGCGCGGCGAACCCGGCAAUCAUGGUGCUCCAGGAGACCGCAUCCUUGUGCGGAGCGGAAGAAAACAAUCUCCUCGCGAAAUCCACCUCCCCCGCCUUCAUAUGCCCCGCGAGCAUCACGUUCCACGAAGUGGAGUUCCUCCACGGCAUUUCGCCGAACAGCUUCCGCGCGAGCCGCACGUCGCCCGCGCGGAAACAAGCCGUGACGGCCGCGUUCCACGCGACGACGUUCCGGUGAGGCAUUUCCUCGAACACCUUGAGCGCGCGGCCAAGGCGGCCGCACUCGGCGUACAUGCUGACGAUGGUGGUGGCGACGAAGAGGUGGCGGUCGAGGCCGUGGCGGAGGGCGAGGGAGUGCACCUGGGAGCCGACGGAGAGGGAGCGGGCGUUGGCCGCGGCCUUCGAGAGGAAGGCGAAGGUGAAGCUGUCGGGGGGGAGGGAGCGGCGGCGCAUGCGGCGGAAGGCGGGGAGCGAGCGGAGGAGGAGCUCGCCGGCGACGAUGGGGUCGGCGGCGGCGCCGGAUUUGAGGGCGUGGGCGUGGGCUCGCUUGAGGUGGUCUAGGGUUUUGCAUUGCUGUAGCAAGGAGAGGGUUUGGAGGACGAGGUGGUGGUUGGGGUUCAUUUCGCGCGCUUAGGGAGUGGGAAUUGCGUAUAUGAAUCAUUGAAUAACAACUAAAGUCGGUGGUGAGAUUAGCAUCGUCGCCGAGUUUAGUAGUAGUGCCGAUUCUGACGACAUUAAGCUUUUGCCGAGUUUAAGGGUGUGCAUUGAUGAUAGCGGGGCAUUUGGUAUUUAUUUAUUUAUUUAUUUAUUUUAUUUGGUGUAGUUAAUAUGCUAAUUUAGCAAUUAAAGAUACAAAUCUCCUUAUCUACUAUGUUAGUAGUCCUAAAUAAUUUGAAAUAUAUAAAUUUUUUGUGUAUGUUAAUUUGAUGAGUAAUGCUAUGCUCACUUACAGAAGUGAGUAAGGGCAAAAUCUUAAAUUAUAAAAAAUAUUUUAUUGAAGUAUUUAUACAAAGAGUAGCACUAUAGUUACACAAAGGAGUAGAUAGAAGAAGUAUAGUCCAAAUGAUCAAAAUUAUGCUUGUCAUCAAAAGAUUAAAAAAUUACUAACCAGUAAAUUACACACAUCAUCUAAAAGAUUCAAUCACUUUAGCAUACAUUCUAUUUGCAUGUACUGCUUUAGAAAUUCCGUAACAUUAUUCUUAUAAUAAAGUUUACAACAUGGUGGGCUUUAUACAUCGCCUAAUAAAACCAAUUACUUUGGCGCAGAUUCUAUUCGCAUUUACCUUUAAAAGUGGGCACAAGAUUAUUAUUCUAAUUUGACUCCUUUACAAUGUUUCUAACCCCAUUGGGUCACUUUUAUCACUCCACUCCACCAAAGUUCUUUUCUAAAAUCCAUGAAACAUAUGUCCUUAUUUUUGGUGCUUCUUCCUAGGAAUCAUCAAAAUGUCCAAUAUUUUCCUUUUCUUUUUAGUUGAGGUAAUGCUACUUCAUCUCAUGUGGGGAAAAGCCCUACUUUUGUGGGGUAGUUGGCCAAAUUUUGAAUCCCAUGUUGCACUCCAAAGAAUGUUCUGGAAAAUGUCCCAAAUCCCAAAUUUGGGUUAAUUAGUUAGGUAAAUUUUGAAUACUAUCAUACACUCUUGGUUUGAUACAAUUUUUCAUAUUUUACCAUUGGAUAAAGAUCAGUGAAAAAAGAAAAAAGAAAAAGUAAACAAUAAAAAUAAAAAAGCCUUUGUUUGGGUGGUAUUUUCUUACAAGCUAUGAUCUCAUAUUUUCUGAAUUUUUACUAAAAUUACAGCAUGUGAAUAAAACAAAGAAAAAAAACUAGUGAAGCAUGCGUCAUAGUUUGGUGGGACGUAACUAGAAAUAUAGUACAGGUAAAAAUAUAUGCAAUUAAAAAUCUAGCAGUUAUAACUAUGCAGCUAUAAAUUAUUUAUUUCAUUGCAUGUAGUUAAAUAGUACGUUUGAAAAUUUUUAUCAAUUCAUACUUACGGUGGUGAAAUUAUCUCUAAUGUAGAAAAGAAUGAUAUUUUCUUUUUGAAAAAUAACUAGGGAGAUAAGUUACUCUCUCUGACUGUUGUUGCUGUAGCCAAUUUGAGCAUAGCUCCAACUGCUACAGUACGACCUCCUCAUACAGUUCCAAUUGUCGCAAUUAGAUUCACACGUAUCAAAUCAAAUAAUGAAUUUGAAUUUAUAUGCAGAUGCAACUGCACCAACAAGCGCGUCUUAUGUAUCGCCGAUGUAUCUUUAUAGUGAGUAGAAUCAUACGUAUCAGAUACGAUUUUUUUAUGGUGGGCCUCCAAUGGACCCAAAAUUUGGCCCAACCAAUUUCUCUAUUCACACUUUUUAUAAUAUAAUACAAUAUAUGGAUGUGAACAAAAUAAUCCCUUCUUAUAUAAUAAUAAUAAUAAUAUACAUAUUAUUUUUUUUUGUCUCUUGUUUGAAAAUGGUUCAUGGUUGUUCAUUAUUGCAAUAAAUGUUGACUCAAAUUAUUGUCGGUAACAGCCACAAAAAGUAAUGUAAACACAAGAAAAUAUAAAUUCCCAACAAGUUCAAAUAUUUCAAUUUUUUGUACUCCAAAAAAGAAAAAGCGUUUAAUCAUAUAAUUAUAAUAAAUAAUAGGAAGUGGUACUAUAAAAGGAAAUUAAUUAGUGCAACAAAUCAUUGUCCAUUUUAACUCUAGCAUUUAAUCCACACCAUACAAUUAUUAGAAAUUUACUUAUAUCUAAACCUAAUUAAUUUAGGAAAUGAGCCAUUUAUAUGGCGACUAUAUAAAAGAUCUUGGUGGGUGUAAUUUUUUUAAGAUUAAAAUUUUUCAAAAAAAAGUUAAAUGAAGUUGAGAGUGUGGGUUUAAACUAUUCUGCGAAUCAGGUAAAUUCUACUGUUAACUAAUCUUUUUGUAUCCAAUUUUUUUUUUACUUAUUAUUUUUAUUAUUUGCUCUUUGUUUUGUGACUUUUUUUGGAUUCGGAGUCGGAGAUUUCACUAAAAUUACCAAAUAAAAAGUUGCAUCUAUUUUUCCUUCAAUCAAAAGAUAUAUUAGGAAAUUAUAAAUCUAAGUGCAGACGAGGUAAAAAGAAUAGAAAUAUCCUGCAAACUAAUAUUUUCUCGAUUUGAGUACAAACAUUUACGCGAAUAUAUAUAACUCAUGUUUAUAAUUAUAUUAGAAAAAUUUAUUUAUGCAAUAAAUCACGGAAUUGACAAAUCUCUUAUUUGACGCGACAUGUUGACAAAAAGGAGGUGAAAAAUUCUACCCUUUUGUCACUCUUAGACGCGGUUAUAGUUCCACUAAGAAGCUUAUGACACGAUAUAUACAUAUGUAAAUUAGUCGUUAGUCGUUGACGUGUUAUUUGGUUUUGAAUAAAAAAAUAAAAAUGCUUGUGAAUAAACCCAAAAAAAAAUAAAAAAUAAAAAAAGCACUUAAAGGAAAAGUGCUUUUUCUUGGGGACAAAAAGCCAUUAACCCUGCAAAAUGGGCUUCACACGGAAUUGUCAAAAUUAAUUGCCCUCCACAAUGACUUGACAUUGAAGUUUUGUCUCUUUUUAUUUUUAUUUUCUUUUUAUUUUUUGUCAUUUUUUUCUUUUUCUUUUUUUUGGGGGAUUUUUGAAUAUGAGACUUGACAUAGUAGUUAUUUGAUUCUUCAAAGCACUAUUCCUUCUAGAAUUAGGAAAUUUCUAAUUACCCUUUUUCCAUUUCUAUGUAAUGGAAAAAAAAAAUUCCAAGGAUGUGAAAAUGACCUUUUAUUUCAGUAAAUUAUUACUAUUUUUUUGAACAGCAUGAUACUAUUUUUACAAAGCAUCGUCGUAAAACAUAUUUGUUCUUACCAGAAAAUAAUUAUAAUAGGGGCAAUUCUUUAUAUACCUCUGAAAAAUUCUCGACUUUCUAAUUUACUCAUCUUAGAAGGAUAAUAUUAAAAUUUUCUUUUUUACGUUUCCAGUUAUUUCAAAUAUAUUCCUAAAGUUAAAUUUUGUUAGCAGCAAUAAUCAUUAUCUAUGCAAAAUUACUAUUUUGCCCUUUCUGAUGUACCCUUCUAUUACCGCAAACUUUUUUUAUUUGCCUUUCAGCUAGGGGCAAAAAAAAUAUUUUGAUUUUUUAUUUUUGAUUUUUUCAAAUAUAUCAUUUUAUUAUCACUAAUUUUUCUUAUUUGUCCUUGAGUUAAGAGCAAAAAGGAGGUAUUUUAAUUUUUUAAACUUUUUUAGAUAUUUAACUCACGUUUAAUCCAAGAUAGCUUAACAUGUGAUAACCGUAGAGAUAUUUUUGAAUAGCGCAGGUACAUACGAGGAGUAUAUUGAAAUAAAAAAAAAAGUAAGAAUAAAUUAGAUAUUUAUGAAAUUUUGAUAAGUAUAUAGGCAAUUAUCCCCCAACAAUAAUACAUCCGUUCAUGUGCAACAAAAAUUAUUAUAAAUAAAUUUAAAACACGAAUUAAAAUAGUACCUUGUUACUAUCAAAAACAAACCAUCUUUCGCUUUCAUUGUUGAUCCUCUCAAUUGCUUGCAUUACAAUUAAAAUUAAACAUUAUAAUGACACAUAUAUUUAAUUUCCUCCACCUUGACUAAAACUUAUAGAAUUAUACGAACUUAAAUUUAUUAUUUCCCUUUUUUUAUUUUUUUUUUUGCAAUUUAAAAAAAAAUGAUAGAAAGAGACCCUUGAGGCUAACUUUGCACAACGUGACAUUUGCCAUUGCACCAAAUUGGCGCAUUUAUAUAUUCUUGCUGAGUUUUUUGUCAUUUUUCUCACCUUUAUUUCUUUUUAGUGAUUGCCUUAAAUUAUUGUGCAUAUGUAUCAUUUUCAUGGUGCACAAUUUACGAUUUGACUCUUCGUGAAUAACGAGAGCCGUCCAUUUGUGAAUGGACGAUGAUGACGUGUAUCACACGCGUGUUAGGACAAAGCAAUUAGCCUAAUUAGAAGUUUCUCAAUAAUUAAUUAGGAAGGCCAUGUUUAGGGUCUAGAGUUUAGGGUUGAAGUUAUCGAUCGCUGUGUUGUGUACAUAGAAAUAGUAGUUUGGUGGGGUGGGUUGGAUUAGCGACUUAGGAUUGAGUGGUUUCUGGCUUCUAAUGAAAUUGCUUGAGUUUUGAUUGUACGAAUGUCGUGUCAUUUUGGAUCAUUUCUGAUUAUAAGUCACAUUCAGAUUGUUUAGGCUCGAAUUAUUUCUAAUUUUGUCUCGAGUAUUUGGUGGGGUGGGUUGGAUUAGCGACUUAGGAUUGAGUGGUUUCUAGUUUUUAAUGAAAUUGCUUGAGUUUUGAUUGUACGAAUGUCGUGUCAUUUUAGAUCAUUUCUGAUUAUGUGUCGCAUUCGGAUUGUUUAGGCUCGAAUUAAUUCUAAUUUUGUCUCUCGAGUUUGGGUUUAAAUUUGUUCAAAUUGCUUGUGAGUUUCGAUCCACUCAGGUUCGAAUCAUUAACUUUCCAAGUCAACUCAUAUUAGAUAGAAUCUUAUUUGGGACUGAAUCGGAUUAGCUUUCUCCGCCUCUAACUUCGCUCUUGGUUAUUAAAAUCGUACUUGGAUUACGAUAAACAAGGAUAGGAAAAAUAAUUAGGGUUAAUGAGAUUCUCAUGCUUUAUUAGAAUCAAAAGUACAAAUUAAACAACCUUUAUCAAUUAUCACAUAUAUUAUAUAUUGUAAAAGGGGUACUAUUAUUAUUAACAUAAAAACUAGUAACUUAUAUUCCCUCUUUGUAGCUUGAAUCACAUACAACCCUUUCCAUGCACAUGAUAAAUUUUUUUUUAAAAAAAAGCUAAAAUUAUACUCCACCUUUUAGUACAUGGAUUCUAUAUUAGUUAAUCUUUAAUCAAGGUUAUAAAGGAAAAAAAAAUAAACUAAUUAAAGAAAAAAAGAUUAGAGUUACCAAAAUAACUCCCGAAUAAUUACACAAAAGAAAAGCUAUGGGUGCAACACAAAAACAGUUGUUAUUGUGAUUCAAUUUAUUACAUCUUUCAAACCAACCACUUGUUUAAGGAUAAAGCACCUAAAACCUUUUUUUAUUUUUAUUUUAUUUUGGAGGACAUUAAUGGGGAGUUUUUUUUGGAUAAGCCAAAUAGGUGGUGAUCACACAAUAGUGCACCAAAUAGCAAAAAUUAUUGCCUCAACUAGGUCCACCAUAUUAACAGUGAACCAGUAUAAAUCUGAUAUCGAUGGUUAUAAAUUUAUUUUAUAAAAUCUUCUUUUUUUUUUCAAACUCCAAAAAUCUAAUAAACUGUGUCGUUUUACGGAUUUAAACUUAAUGAUUAUAAUAUAGAGUAAAAGAAAAGAUGGACUGGAUGGCAGAUACCCACGCAGUGCGAUGUCGUGGACCAAGUCCAAGGAGUAGUACCCACAAAAACUGGUCCUCAUUGGCUGAGUCAGGGUGAGUAAGUUGGCUUAGUCAGCCUUCCAUGAAACCCCAGUCUGUUCUGUAAAACACUUGGCCUACAAACAAUUGACCACCCAACUGAAAGAUCUCCCUAAUUAGUUAAGAUGUUAAAAAAAAAAAAAGAAAAAAAAAAAAAAGAGAGAGAGAAAAUUUACUAACAACUUUGAGAUUUUUAAGGCACACACCAAGUGCAUUUACUAUGUACCAAGUUACCCGUCUCUCUCUCUCUCUCUCUCUCUCUCUCUCUAUCUCUUGUUUUUCUUAGAUCACAGCUCUAUCUCAUCAAUUUAGGUGGAACUUCACCCUCCCAAGCACCAUGCCUAAAGACCAAGCUUCCUUCUUGUAAAUUCUUUAUUCUUCUGUUUUGUAGGUGCAGAGUCCACUUCUCUGCUGCAGCAGCAGCAGCAGCAGCAUACCCACACAUAAUCUCUGAUCUUAUGAUUGCUUCAGAUUGAAUUAAGGGUGGUGGUGGAGGUGGUUAAAGUUAAAAAUUGCACCCCCCCUAUGGAGAUUGUAACAGCUUCUCUUUGUGGAACCCAUGUGAGCUCUUCUGGUGAGGAUGAGCCAAUGAGUGGUGUUGCUUGUAGAAAGAUGUUCUCUCCCUUGUUUUGGAUCACAAUUUCACUGGUGUUCCUCAUCAGCUUCAUCAGCAGAUCCAUUCUCAGGUGGUUUUAAGGCCCUUUCUCUUUCUGGUGAAUUUGUUCAUUUAAUCUGAUCACUUGUCUCCUCCCUUUGUUUUUGUUUUUUUUGGUUGCAGAGUGAAGAGUAGAGAGAAGAUUCAGAGAGAGAUUGAAAGGUGUUUGCCGGCGAAAAUUGAAAUUGAAGAAGCUAAUAGGAUGGAGGAACCAAGUUUCAGCUUUAAGUUUCAGUAUCAGAUUCCUGAGUAUGAUAAUAAUAAAGUUAGCACAGAGGAACCUUCAAUUCCAAUUGCAAAGGAGAAUGAGUUGUCGACGGCUACGAGCAUCAGUAAUUAUCGGUUCUUGUCGGAGAAGGAUUUCAGCGGCUUCGUGGAACAGCCGGAAUCCGUGACAGUUUCUGUCCAAGAAUCUUACAUUGAAACAGAAACAGCAGCAGCAGCAGCAGCAGCAGAAGCAGUAGCAGUAGCAUCUGCAGCUGCAGAAGAAGAAGACGAAGAAGAAGACGAAGAAGAAGAAGCAAGUUUAGUUCAUAGAAAAAGAAAGAAAGAAAACAAGUUCGAUACCGGAUUUUUUUCGUCAGAAAAUACUCUGCAGCAACUCAGUAAAGAAGCUUACACUGAAGAUAAAGUAAAAGAUAAGUUCUGGGAGAAAGGAAAAGGCAUCAAUUAUGAGACCAAUUUAUUUAGUGAGGAUGAAGUGAUCGGUAAAAGGAGGUUUCUAUCCGAGGAAUUCGUGGGCUCCGGCUCGGAUUCAGAAUCGAGUAUGAGCGACGGGUAUUCGGUGAAGGACAUUGUUGUAGACUCCGACAGCGAUUGCUUUUUAUCAGAGAAGGAUUUCGGUGAUCGGUACGAGCACGAAACCGAUGCUACUACUGAAUCGUCGAUGAAUUUUGCUAACUUCAGUGUAGAUUUAAUGGAUGAUAUCCAACAGUCGGAAGAAGUCCAGUCACAACCUUUUGAUGAUUCGGACGCAGAAUCAGCUUUUUCAAAAAGCGACUCAGCGUACACAAACAAUCAUUACUUGGAUGAAUCGAAAGAAUUGAACGAAGAAUCGAGAAAAUUGGAUCUGCCGAGUACGAGUUCAAAGAGCUCUGACGAGGAUGUUUCAGAGUCGAAACGCGAGGAUGUAGGUGAAAAGAUUACUAAAGAAAACAACGAGCGCGUAGAAGAAUCGGUUUUUCAGAAGGAAACGCAAGAGAACGAUGCGAAGAAGCCGAAAGAGAACCAAUGGGAUGAUCUAAAUGAUGAGGAGAAUGAUGAAUUGGAGUCACUUUGGGAGCACCAGGAUCUUAUCGAGCAGCUGAAAAUGGAGAUAAAGAAAGUGCGGGCAAUCGGGCUUCCGACCAUCUUCGAAGAAUCGGAAAGCCCGAGCCCGAAGACGAUCGAGGAUUUGAAGCCGUGGCGGAUCGACAAGAAGUUCCUGCUCGAGGACCCGAUCGACGAGCUGCACAAGUUCUACAAGAGCUAUAGAGAGAGGAUGCGGAAGUUCGACAUCUUGAAUUACCAAAAGAUGUAUGCAAUUGGUAUGUCUGAUUAUCUUUUUCGCAGUUUCUUUACAUUGGUUUUGCUGCAAAACUGGAUUUGGAAACAAUUUCUUAAGAUUGCUUGUUUGAAACACAGGAUUUCUCCAACUAAAGGAUCCCCUCCAAUCAAUGGGGGCUCAAAAACCUCUACUUCCCACACUAACCACUAUUCUAUCCCAAAAUUUUGGCCACAAGCGUAAAUCCGGCGACGAUCAAUCAGAAAGAUUCGUCAGAGAGCUCAGAUGCGAUCUGGAAACGGUUUAUGUCGGGCAGAUGUGCCUUUCGUGGGAGUUCCUUCGGUGGCAGUACGAAAAAGCCCGCGAAUUGCCCGAAUCCGACCCAUACAGAAGCCAUCAGUACAACCAAGUCGCAGGCGAGUUCCAGCAGUUCCAGGUUCUAAUACAGCGGUUCGUCGAAGAUGAAUCCUUUCAAGGACCGCGGUUACCGAACUAUGUCAAGAACCGUUGCGUCCUCCGAAACCUUAUUCAAGUGCCCGUCGUAAAAGGUAACAAAAGGUUACAAAUGAACUAGUUCAUUUCCGCUGCGAGUUUUACUGAGUUAUACUGAAACUGUUUAUUGUGGCAGAGGAUAGUUUAAAGGAGAAAAUGGAGGAGCAGCGCAAAGGAAACUACUCGAUCACGAGCGACGAAUUGGAGGACAUAAUGGAGGAGUCGAUAAGACUUUUCUGGGAGUUCGUUAAGGCCGACAAAGAUGAAACACCGGGUUUGCUCAAGGGUUUGAUGGCUCCUCAAGUCGAGCUCCAAGAACCGUCCGACUACGAGCUCAUGAUGCACAUUCAUUCUAUCUUGCAAAAGGUGAGGCAUAUAAUGCUUGUACUUUUUAAAAAUUUUGCACUGAUCUAUUGGGGCAUAGUUUCUAACUUCUUUUGAAAUUUAUGGCGCAGAAAGAGAAGAAGCUAAAAGACCUCUUGCGGACCGGAAACUGCUUAGUGAAGAAGUUCAAAAAGCCGAAAGAAGAUAGAUCAAACCAAGACCUCUUUUUCGCGCAAGUGGACCUGAAAUUGGUGGCGAGAGUACUCCGAAUGCCGAGAAUUACCAACGAACAGCUGUCGUGGUGUCACAAGAAACUGGACAAGAUCGCAUUUGUCGAUCGGAAGAUCCGAAGAGAGCCUUCAUUCUUGUUAUUCCCUUGUUGAGGUAGAUAUCCUCGCCUUGUCAAGUAUAGUUUUAAUAUGUAAAUUUGAGGAAAAUUUAGGAUUAUUUAAGUAGUUAUUUAGAGAAUAUUGAUGGUCCUCUAUAGUGUUUUUUCACCUUCUAAAAGUAAAUGGGCUUGUAUGGCUCCCUCAUAUACUUGUACUUGACAGAGAAAACAUUUUUGUUUUCAAAUUUAUAGCCUUUAAAAUUACAAUGAUAACAUGUAUACAAGUGAAUGGAAACUAUUGGUGUGAGGCUUUACAUGUUAACUACCCUAAACUCGGUUUCGAGAUGUCGGUAAUUUCUGAAUUAUUCGAUGAGAACCAAUCGCGACACACUAACAACCGCAUUGAAAAUAUGAUUUGUGAAACUUUGGCAGGUACCAGAAGCACUUUUAUCGCGGUAAUUAUAUGUUUAUACAGCUUGGUUUUCGCCUCUCUUUCAUUAAUAGAUGUAACAUCAUCAGAAAAUAAGCAUUAAUUUCCAUUGUUUGUAUUAUUAGACCAAGAACAUUAAGCACCAAACCAUUAAUCACCAAAGCAUGAAGGAUGAGCUAAUGAAGCCGAAGUAGGUAUAGAUCAAUGAGCACAGUUUCGACGGUCGAUUUAAAGCGAAUUGAAUUAUGAGCAUUUAAUUCUGCAAGUGUGCCCUUAAGAGGGUCAGAACAUAUGAAAGGAACCUCUCAGCAAUCAUGCACAAAGGUAGUUAUGUGCAUACAUCACCUGUGUAAUGCCAAAAAGAUAUUUGAGGAGAGACACAUUAUUGUUGUGAUGCCAUGAAUCAUGUAGACAAACAGGUAUGGAUACAUGACAUUAAUGUGGUUUGGAGUUUUCUGGUGGGUAUCAGUAUUUGGUAUCUUACUGUUUUUUUUUGUGUAGAGAAAAAUAGCAGUUAGUAGUUGCUGCACUGGCAUUUUAAUUUUAGUAUAUGCAAGGACCACAAAAUUGAACUGAGCUAACUUGUUGGUCAUCAUAAAAGCUCAACAAGUGAAGGAAAAAGGGUUAUUGAAUGAAGCUAAACUAUAACAGCAACGCUAAUGUUGGAUGUAGUACUGUUUGAUAAGAUAUUAUUUGAGUAGUGUUAUCAGAAGAAGUAGUAUGACAAUACAUCCUUAUAAGCUUCUCUCUGCAGCAAAUAUAGUGAGUAUCAAUAGAAGUUUCGAUUUUGUUAAUCAGAAUCUCAUUUCUGCUUCACCGUAUAUAAGAAGUUCUAAUUUUUCUUUUUAUCUGUUAAGUGAUCUGCCAAGAUCAAUGUUGUUGAAAGCAAAAGCAGGAAGAGAGUAACACAAACCAUCGAAAAAAAACGAUCUGGCCAAUUGGCUCAAAACUAAUGAAGAUUGCUUACUCUCUGAUCUGCUCACAAUGCUUUUAUUAAGAGCAGAAAAUGUUUCUGAAGGCAUAAUUUGGUACAGAAAAUACAACAUCACUCCGAAAAUUCAUCACAAUCCGCCUCAAAGAAAGAAAAUUUUGCGACGGUAAUUAUGCCAGUUCCUGUUGAAAUAGGUUGAAAUAGUUACGACAAAAACAUGUGCUCUGACCAGGGAUCAGAUUAGUUUCUUUUUCCUUUCUUAAUGAGAUGAUGAGAUUCUCAGAACACACAUUCAUUUCUUUCGUAUUGUUGACUUCUCAGAGAAGAGAAAAUAAACUAGAAAAAGGAGAGAACAAAUUAUUCUACCAAAUUAAGCGGAAUUUGAAACUGUUUAACCAACUCAAAAUUCAAAAUACAACCAAAUACUGAUUGUGAAUGUCAAACUUUCACAAAUCUCAAACAAUAGUUACUGAAAACUAAUUAUACCGAAUAACUCACUCAACGCGACGGUUAACUCUCCACACUUUAACAGUUGAACUACACUUAAGCAUCAAGUUAAACAUUACACCGAGUGUAUAAAACUCGAGCAUCGCCGUUUACUUUUGUGGCUUGGGUCUUCUAGCUCUUAGAAGCUUGUUUGUCUUUGGCUUUUUGGAUCUUCAAAACCUUCUUCACGAUCUUUUGCUCUUCAAUCAAAAAUGCUCGAAUAAUUCUGCAAAAUUUGUUUGAAUAAUAAUUGGUCCUUGUUUUACUCUGUUCCUGAAACUUCCGUACUUUGAAGAGAAGCAAAUAUUCAUUUGGCAAACAAAAGGCCUGCUGAAGUUUUUGCUCGAAGCAAAAGCUCCAAUUUAAGCAUUUCGUAUCACAUUGUACUUCUUCAAAUAACUAUACUCAAACAGCACUUUGCCAGAAAGUAAAAGGGACAGAGAAAAGGCCCUUAGAAACAUAAAGCACCAAAAUUUAUAUAGGUAACGAUGUAGUGGAUAGUUGUUAAGACCUUUCUCUAACUGCACCUCCAGAUAGAACUCCACCGUAGGCGCGGUUCACGGUCCUCCGGUUCCUGGAUAAUCUCGACCUCUUGUACUCAGCUGGCCUUAAGUGAGGAAUCUAAAAGCAUCCAAAAAAAACAAUAAGCACUCUGAAUAAAAAAGGGGGUGGGGGGGAGGGAAUGAUGAUACAUAUAAUACAGAUUCAGGAAAACCAACAGAUUGAACAGCAUUCUCCCAAUUCCAAUUCAAGCCCUAACGACUGCGCCAAAUUGAAACUCUGAAAGGUAAAAUAUCUAGUUUAACCUAUGCAAUUUUUGGUAUAAAAAAUCUGCGCUGAUAUAUUCUUGUAGCAAUCUAACUACACAUAUCUAUUCUCAAAACGUUUCAUCGAUCUGAAAAAGUGAUGGACCUCUCAACUGUAUAUUCGUACAUAGGCACAGGAAGGGAAAACAAAAACAACAGUUGCACAAUAAAUACUAAAAAAGUCGCCAGAGAUAAUGUGAAAUGUGUAUAAGAAGCUAAAUGUAUCUAAUAAGCAUGUUGAACAAGAUACGAGUCAUUGUAUACGAAACACAGGGAAAAAAAAAAUUUAACCAAAGAGUUUUACAGGUACCAAGUCCACUCUACGAUACUAAACAACACUAAAAUUGCAUCUUAUGCUUCAUAGAGAAGCCUAUAAACUCAUUCAACAGUAACGUUUAGUUCACAAACUUCAUAAUUAUAUGAUUGGUAUUCUAAAAACUAACUAAAAAUGCAAAUUUUAAAUGCGUGGAAUUGCUUACUCCUUGAAUUCUCUUGCCCGUCACCGGGCAUUUAGGUCCGCUCGCCCUCUUAUUCGUGUAUUGGUACACAAGCCUACCACCUACAAUCCAAAUCAAGCACAUUGAACACUAAUCCAUAAGCACAAUACAACAACAAACACUUCAAACGAAUAAAUAUAUAUAUUUUUAAACAAACACAUGAAUCCUCAUCGUGAUCACAUACAAUAUCUAAGCCAAAAAGAUGAAUUACUAAGAAAAAAAAAAUAGCUUUCUAGCAAAACAUAAUAGACCUUGCAUACCAAAAAAUGAAAAUCAAAUAUUUUGAAAUAAGCAUCUUAAAUUUGAACAUUUUGAUUUUAUGGCGUCAAAUUUUGAAAUAGUUAUAAAUAAGUAAAUUUGAUGCUAUUAGUAACAUUUUUGAUAGAAUAUUGCAUCCAGUAACAGAACAUUCUUUAUUCCGUUAAAUUAAGGAACAUAACGCGGGAUAAAAAUCAAAUCUUUUUUUGAAAUUCAUAUACCUAUUUCAGAAAUACUACAAAAUUAGACAACAAAAUCAAAAAUUUUCAAAUUCAGAUUUUGUGAUAUCAAAAAGGAAGGUAUGAUUCAACUAACUGAAAAAGAAACGAAACAAUAUUUGAUUCAACUCAUCGAAAAUUAAUGGAAAAAAAAAAAAACUUGGAAUGAUGGGAAUUGAAGGGGAAAGAGAUUGGGGGGAACGUUACCAGGGGUUUUAACAACCCUAGUUUGGUUGGAUUUGGUGGCGUAGCUAUGCCUCUUUCGAUACGUUAGUCGCUGCACCAUUUUCGCUUCUGCUUCUUCGCGAAGCUCUCUUUCUCUGUGUAAUGUAAAGCUCGAAGAAGCAAAAAAGAGGCGCCUUUUAUGGGCGCCGCCGUUUUGGGUAUACGGAAGAGGAGAAGGGUCAUAAAAAUAUGACCUAAAAUGGACGGUGCAGAUCUAGCCAUCCAACGGCCGAAAAGAUCGGGUGCACUGGACCGGUCCAAUUCACUCGACCUCGCGGGUUCGUUCGGACCCGGUUCGGCAAAUUAGUUGGAUUACUCUUCAACCUAGACCUAGUGGGUUCGUUUCGACUCGAUUUGGCAAUUCGGUUCGUCAGUUAGGCAUUGUUUGAUCCGGCUUUUGCUUUCAAUUUCAACUGCAGUUAAUCGAAGACUGUUUAGCCCUGCUCCUGCUUUUAAAUGAAAUAAACGAAGCGGGUAGUAUGUUAAUUGAAAACCGUCCCUAAAGUAAGUGGCAAAGGGUUUGGUGGUUGGUACCCGAGACCCAAGUUCGAAUCCUAGUUGAUUCACAUUUCCAGCGAAGUUAUUUCUAAAUGAAAUAAACGAAGCGGGUAGCAUGCUAUCUUUCUCUCAAAAAAAAAAAAAAAAAAAAUCAUCGCUUGUUAGAAAGAAAAUUUAUUUUGUCAAGAAUGGGAUUCGAACCCAUGCCCUUUCGGACCAGUACCUAAAACUGGCGCCUUAGACCAACUCGGCCAUCUUGACUUGUGUAUUUUUAGGCUUGUAAAUCUUAUAUUAAACAAAUCAAUAAAAUGGAGUAAAACUAUCACUAAUAUAUGAUUAUUAAUUUGAUAGAAAUUUAUAAUAAAUAAAAAUAAAAUUAUAACGUAGUUUGAUACAAUUUUUUUAAUAAAGGAUUUUUUUUUUGCAUUUAACCCCUCAGAAAUUUUUUUUUUUAUAAAUAAUUCCACAAUUUAUAUUCACAAAAUUGACGCUAUUUCCGCCACGCAAGUGCUAUGCGAGCGCUAAUUUAGCUUAAGUUAAACACGAUAUUUGAUUCACCGUAUUUUAUUAUUUUUUCUACAAGAUUUAAAAUUUAGAAGGGUUACGAUGAAUUAUUCAUGGUAUUUAAACAUGAUGAAUAAUUCAUCAUGUUCAGCAUAAUCUUCAUUGCCAUCGAUGCUCGCGUGGUAAGGAUAGGGUUAAUUUUAUAAAUAUAAAUUUUAUGUAAAAAAAAAUUCCUAACAAGAUUAAAUGCAAAAAAAAUUCUUAAAUCAAAGAUUGACAAAUGCAUAAAAAAUAAUUAAUUAAUAAUUUUUUUGAUACAGGAUAGUAAAGUGAUAUUACGCUAAACCAAGAUGAGAGGUAAAUUGAAAUUAACUCUAAAAUUUGUAACUGCUUUUGCAGAAUUAAAAAUUUGUUUUGAAUUUGAAUUUUUUUUAAAAAAAGUUAUUUUAAAAACUAGAUCAUAAAAAAUAAAAAAAACAUAAUUUGAUCAAACGAACGCAAAUGAAACCACGUCUAACGAUGAAAUGAAACCCCCUCUCCAUCACCAUCACCAUCACCAUCACCACCACCUCCUCCUCCGUUCCCUUCUCAACGAAACCCUAAACCCUCUCCACCACCUCCGAGCUCUCUCCACCUCCUCUCCCAAUCCCCGCACCACCCAUGUCCCCGAAUCCCCUCCUCUCCCCCCCGCCACCUCCCUCUCCCACCGCCACGCCCGCUCCCUCCCCGUCUCCGGCUCCCCCGCCCGCGCCCUCCACCUGCUCGACGAAAUGCCCCAACCAAACCUCGCCUCCUACAACCUCACCCUAUCAUCCUACAAUCGCCUCUCUCGAUUCGACAAAACCAUCUCCGCCUUUCGCCGGCUCCGUCUCGCGGGCUUCGUCCCCGACCAAUUCGCCUACGGUAGCGUGCUCUCGGCUUGCGCCGCUUCGGAGGACGUUGCAUUCGGCGAGCAGGUCUAUUCAAUUGUUUUGAAAUAUGGGUUUUGCUCUAAUGGGUAUGUUUGUACCGGAAUGAUUGAUCUAUUUGCGAAAAAUGGGAGGUUCGGUGAUGCAGUGAAGGUGUUUGAGGAAAGUGCUAAUCGCGAGAAUGUUGUUUGUUGGAAUGCCGUUAUCGCUGGAGCGGUGCGGAACGGCGAGAAUUCGGUUGCUUUGCGGCUUUUUUGUGAUAUGCUUGCCGGGUUUUGUGCGCCGAAUGGCUUUACCUUCUCGAGUGUUCUGUGUGCUUGUGCAGCGGUCGGGGAGCUCUGGGUUGGUAGGGGUGUACAUGCUUUGGUGGUCAAAUGUGAUUCGGAAGCCGAUGUCUUUGUCAGAACUGCCAUUGUAGAUUUGUAUGCGAAAUGCGGGGAUAUGGAUGCGGCGAUGAACGAGUUCGUGCAUAUGCCGAUUCGUAAUGUGGUCUCUUGGACCGCGAUUAUCUCCGGUUUUGUUCGGGAGGAGGCCGCAUUUGAUGCUCUAAGACUUUUUAAAGAAAUGAUCAAAAGCGGUGUAGAGAUUAAUAAAUGCACUGUAACUAGCGUCCUACUCGGCUGCUCGAAGUCGUCAAGGGCGAAAGAGACUAAUCAAAUACAUUGCCUUACUUUGAAGAAUGGGCUGUAUAUGGAUUCUGUUGUAAAAGAGUCUUUGAUUAGCACGUAUGCCAAAAUUGCGAAUUUUGAAUUGUCUGAGAGGGUUUUCGAAGAAAGUGGCGCGGUGAAAAGCCCCGCUACUUGGUCGGCUUUGAUAACCGGUUUGAGUACUCACAGCUCGAUAAGAUCGAUCGAACUCUUAAAGAAGAUGUUUCGUGAAGGUUCUAAACCCGAUUCAAGAUGUAGCUCAGUUGUUCUUAGCACCAUUGACUCGGUAGAGCUCGGGAAACAAUUCCACUCUGUUGUUGUUAAAGAUGGAUCUGUUCAUGAUGUUCUUGUGGGUAGCGCACUUUCUACCAUGUAUUCUCGGUGUGGUGGUAUCGAAGAUGGGUACAAAAUUUUUAUGCGAAUGAAGGAAAAGGAUCGAGUUUCGUGGACUUCGAUGAUUUCUGGAUUUUCAGGACACGGUCGUUCAGUUGAAGCAUUUCAGUUAUGCAGGGAAAUGAUUUUUGAAGAUAUUAAACCUGAUCCCGUAGCUUUAUCUGCCAUUCUCGCAGCAUGUGAAGGUCAUAAGUGUUUAAUAAAAGGAAUGGAGAUUCAUGGAUAUGCUCUUCGUUUUGGAUUCGGGAGUGAGAUGCCUGUCAAUAAUGCUCUUGUUUCCAUGUAUUCCAAAUGUAAGAAUCUAGUAUUAGCGAGGAGGGUUUUUGAUCGAAGUUUAUACAAAGAUCAAGUCAUGUGGUCCUCUAUGGUGUCAGGGUACGCGACAAAUGGCUAUAGUGAGGAGGCACUGUCGCAAGUCAAGUCCAUGCUGAGUGCUGGUUUUGAGCUCGACCAUUUUUCGUGUUCGUCUAUUCUUGGUUUAUGUGCUAACCUAUCAAAGCCUUGUUUCGGUAGGCAAUUACACGGCCAUGCAAAUAAAGCCGGAACGAUACUCCAUCUUUCUGUGAGUUGCGCACUACUCGCAAUGUACUCAAAAUGUGGUAGCAUUGAGGAUUCUCGUAUAGUAUUCGAAGCGAUAGAAAACCCUGAUUUGGUCACAUGGACGGCUAUGAUAGACGGAUAUGCUCAGCAUGGAAGUGGUCUUGAAGCUCUCAGUAUCUUCAAAACGAUGAUUAAACAUGGAAUGAGCCCAGAUUCUGUAACUCUAGUGAGUGUUUUAUCCGCUUGUAGCCGCAACGGUUUGGUCGAAGAAGGCUUUUUCUAUUUUAAUUCCAUGAGAACUGUUUUUGGGAUCGAACCCGAGUCUCACCACUAUGCAUGUAUGGUCGAUUUACUUAGCCGAUCAGGGAGGCUUAUAGAAGCUGCAAACUUUAUUAACAGCAUGCCGAUAAAACCGAAUUUUCUGAUUUGGAGUACAUUGCUUGCUGCUUCUAGGGUUCAUGGUGAUGUUGAGCUGGGAAAAUUAGCGGCAAGGAAGGUUCUUGAGAUGGAGAAUUGUGAUUCGGGUUCGUAUAUUUCUCUAUCGCAUAUCUCUGCAGAUAUUGGAGAUUGGGAAGAGGUAUUGAGGAUUAGAAGAUCUAUGAAGGGUAGUUCUAUGAAGAAAGAACCUGGGUGGAGUAUUACAUAAACACUGGGUUUGACAUGGUAUAUAAUCUUUUGCUGUUACAACUUGAUCAUUAAAUUAAGAGGAGGGAUUUUGUUUUGCCUCCACCACUAUGCCUAAACCAAUGCUUAAUUUGUAUAAAGAGAGAUGUUGUAGAAGGUAUUGAUGAUUUUCGGAGUUCGAAGAUCCGAGGGAUUGAAGAAGAAAUUCCCUCUGAUUAAUGUUGAACAAAAAUAACACAUAAUGUUACAGAAAAAGAGAAUGUGAAAUGUGAUGUUUUGGUUAUUCAACUGGAGUAGGAAAAUUCAGGGUGGGGAACUGAAAUAACAAGGUACUGCUUCAGAAGGAAACAUGUGCAGCAGUGCACAUGAAUGGAGAGAGUGAUAGAGCUUGUUAUGUGAUAUCAAUUAACCCUCUGUUUUAACUAUUUUUACUUGAUUUUCUUUGUAAUCUCUACAUUCCAUCAUGAUUCUGCUAAUUCAUUAAUGUGACAUGUUCUACUAAUAAAGGUUUAUCAGCGAAUGAAUAAAACAAAAGCAGAAAAGAAGUUUGUUUGCAAUAGUCUUAAGUCUGAAACCCACAUCUGCUUAAAAUACAUUUCUGUGUGACAGGUGGAAGAGAAGUGUGAUUCUAUGUUAAAGAGAAGUGUAACCUAAGCACAAACACUUAUUGUAAUUUUCUUUUUUCGAUAAAUGCUUCAUGUUUCAGUAUAAGACAUUUACAUUAUUGUAGACACAUCUCAUUCCAUUUGGUAUUAGAAGACUAUAUACAUCAUAUCCUUAAGAUCUGGACAAAGAAAGCAAAGCUAGAGAGAGCGAGUCGAAAGCUACACACAUUGAAGCCGAGUGUUGAUGGAGGUCACGGGCAUUUGAAGUUUGUAUUAAUGUGGCUCUUGACGAGGCGAGGUGGGAGAUUCGGGUUCGGUGGCGAACUGGAGUCCCCUUUGUUGCCCUGAUUGAAGAAUGAAUGCUACUUCAGCUGCGGCUAAGUCUUCUGCUUCCUGAACACCAGGAGUUAGUUAAAAAUAUCAGAUGCCAAUUAAUAUAGCAAAUAUUUCGCUAGACGAAGAAGAUCAAAGAAAGAAAAGAUGUUAACAAGUUCAAAUGAAACAAGUUGAAGGAUAUAUAUGCAAGUUUAGAAGAGCAUAAGGGCGAAUAUUCCAAAAAGUAAGGAUUUGAGGAUGUAAUUCAUAGAUUACUAACUGAAUACCGACCUGCCUUUCUCUUCGGCGCUGCAAGAUGCUUAUGGCCCAAGCCAUGAUGUAACAAGGUAGCAGAAAACCAGCAGCACGCAACAAGAAGAGCUGUCAAAUUCAGAAGAAAUGUUAAUGGGCACAAUUAUAAGAUCAGCCAAAUUAACAAUAUAAAAAACAGAGAAUAAUAGGGUUUGAUCCUACGAAUCCCCGCUUACUGAAAAAAUUGUGGCAGCAUCGUCUUCUUCAUCGCCAUUAGUUAUGUACACGGCGUGCCUCAACAGCAAAAUAGCCAUUAACUGGACAAAACAAAAGAGAAACAGUUAAGAUUAUGCAUUGUUUCAUGAAAUGUGAAAAAGAAAAGUUACGAGGUUGAAGUGCAUUGAACGGCAAAUUUUAUUACAGGAUCUGGUAAGCAAAGUCAAAACAGAUAAGGUAUAGGUGAAUGUUAAUGGAUAAAAGUGUGAUAAAGACUUACAAUUAGAGCAGAAGAGCGGCAAAAAGCAGCACUACUAGCGUUUGUGGCAGCAUAGUCAUCAUACUCGGCUUGAAGAAAAUGGCGCUGUGCUGAUGUUACCGCAAGAAUCCUAGGAUCAUUAAUAUCCAAUCGGGUGCCAGUGACGGUCCAACCUCCACUAAAACAAAACAGAAUAAAGAAAUGAAGAACUCUGGACUUGGUAAUUUUAAAAGCUAAUAGCGAUGAUACAAGAUUCUCUUCUCAAAGCAUUAAAUUCACUCCAAGUACACAGAAAUGACAACAACUUUAAAACAUCACAAGAGUAACCUGCCUUAUAUCAAUUGCUAUCGCAUCAGGAGGGGGUCGGGGAGGUGCAGUAUAACCAGGCUUGUAUUGCUGCAAGUAACAAGUUAACAAACUAAUAUUAUGGUUUUAAUGUUAAAUAAGAUACCAAUGUUCGAAAUUGAAUGCAAAACACCAGCAGAGUCUGCAAAGAAGCUGGGAACUUUUUAAAAGACAAUUUUCGAGAAACAAGAGGAACUUGAAUACCAAAAUGAAUAAUGAAAAAGAAAAGGUGAUGCAGCAGAAUGGGAACUUUGUAAAAGACAAUUUCAUCAAGUAAUAUGAAGAGUUUUAAUUGCAUUGAAGAAGGCAAAACGGGGAGAGGAUCUAACGUUAAUAGGUAAAGUAACAAUAAUGUAGCAUGCUGUUGGCUAUGGAGGAAGUAAAAAAAAAAAAAAAACAAUACCAACCUCAUGACAGAUUUCACAGGUGAUGUCUCCUUUCUCAUUGCACCAUCGUUGCACGCAUGCCCUAUGAGCAUACUACCGUGACAAGAAUUGUAAAAUAAGAUUCAACAUCGAUAUGGAAUACACUGAAAGAAGAAAUAAUAAUAUUCGGAAAAAUGCCAUCAAUACAAAUAAAGAAAUAAGUUUUUGCAAGAUAACCAACUGGAUCUGAGAUCUAUAUUUAGUGAACAUCUAAGACCAAAAGCAGUCAAAUGGCAGCAAGCACCGGAUCUAUUGCGCACCCAUAUCAAAAAAUCUCACAAAUGCUGUCUCACCACGAAAGGUAAAAAAAGAAAAAGAAAAAAAGAAGCAAAAACAACAUGCUGUUUCAAGUUAAGUAUCAAACCCCAUAUCGCAAUUCCAUCAAAAGAAGGCUUGAAGCCUAAAGAAAGUCAUGGAUAUAAACUAAAGAUAAAUCUAUACAAUUGAAACGCCACCAAGACAAGUUACAUGCCAAUAGGGUACCUAACAGGGAUAAGCUAAGUAUCAGCCCCUAUAUCACAAUUCCAUUAACAGAAAGGCUUUGAAGCCUAAAAUAAGACAUCAUGAAUAUAAACUGGAGGUAAAUCUAUAUAACUGAAAUGUCACAAAGGCAAGACGCCAAUAGGGUACCUAACAUUGGGAAAUCACAUGCUUUUGGAGUGGUUUGCUUUGGAUUGGGAAGUGAUGAAUAGCCAAGACAUAGACAACCGCUAUGCUUUUCUUGGGCUCUCCAUUAUUACAUCCACUAGUGAGACAGCAAGGGAAGACCUAUGUGCCUAUUUGGCCUGGCUCUGAGAAGAACUUCUCGAACUCUGACAACCUCCUGCAAACAUAAACUCUGGUGCUUCUACUGUGGUAAGAAGCCAAAGUGAACUUUUAAGCUCCUUGGAAAAGGAGAUCCCAUUUGAAGCUUCUGCUUCUGCUGCAACAAGAAGAUGUUGAAAUGACUAAGGAAAAACUAACUAGUGCUUCUUCAAGGAGCUCUACUUGAAUAGCACUUCUAAAGAAUCAAAACCCAAUCUAAUGCAAAUCAUACGUCACAGAAAUAUACAAGCCAAGUUACCAGAGAAACUACCUGAUCAGAGAAUGAUAUAACCUUACAUAACAAUGCGUCCAAAAAUUGAAAUUGCCAAAAGGAGAAAGGCUUAUGUAGUUAUGUAUAUUAUACCUUGAGACUACCACUGCAAGCACAAGGAGUCUCCAGGUUCUUGAUGUGAUCCUCCUCCUGGCAAAUACGACACUCAACCACCUGAAUAAGUGGCUCUUCUUCCUCUGCAGUCACAACUGCUACCUGCCCUAUCGAUGGGGACAGAGAAACAGGAGAGGGGGCACAUGUAACUUCCUUAGAGGAAGAUGAUGAUGACGAUGAUGAAGCAUUUAUUGUCUCCAUGCUUGGGGACGUUGUCGGGUGGUCCACGUGCAACACUAGAUAAUCCCCCAUUUGCCGAAACAGGUAAAACUUUUCUCUCUUACACGACAAAUUCAACAAGAGUUGCAACAAAGAUCCCUCUUGGAAGAUGUAAACUACUAUAACUCCUUGGGGAAGCUUGUGAUUAACGAUCCAAUUAUCGGUAAACCUAGAUCCACCUCCCCUGUAAGUAACGAAACACGUCAAAUUACACUAAAAGGCUUUGUCCUGAAGCCAAAUUUGCCAUUUCGAGGUGAAAAACAACAAAAUAACAACAAAUUCAACAAAAGCUUUAACAAAGGACCUCUUUUGAAGAUAUUUACUACUUCAAUUCCCUGGGGAAUCUCGAGAUUACCGACUAAAUCAGCAAUAGCCCCAGUUCAUAACAGUGUAAGCAACGCAAUGCCCCAACUUACACCAAAAACUUCGAUUUCAAGAGGACUCCACCAUUUUAUAGGAAAAAUAUAACAAAAUGAGGACAAUUCAACAAACUUUUGCGGCAACGCAACCUAUUUUCCUUGGGUAAGCUCAAAUUAACGACUCAAUUGUCGAAAACCCUAAGUCCGCCUUACCGUAAGCAACGAAAUGCCCCAAAUUACACCCAAAUCUUCGACUUGAAGAUAAAUUAACCAUUUUUAAAGAGUAAAAUAACAUAAUCAAACCACAAAAACGUUCGAAAUCGAAGAAAUAUACCCAAAACAAACCGAAACAUCAAAUCCCUCAGAAAAUGGGUAACAAUUGGGCGAAAUCGCACAAAACUACACCAAAUCGAAGCGUUUCUCCUCCAAAAUCCACACCAACAUAGAUCACACUCAAAGAGCUAUAAUAAUAUACAAAAAAUGAGGGGGUAAAAUGGAAUCGCCGUACCUCGAGAGCGCUCUUCAACGUCGCCUCUCUUCGUUUUCUCGCCCCCCUCUCUCGUCUAUGAACACGCGAAAUAAAGGGCUCCGAUUCCACCAGAAACUUCUACGUGAACCCCGUUCACCACGUCAUUCUCAAAUAACUUGAUCAUUACCGUACAUUAGGAACAAAGAGGGUAUAUCGACGGUAUGAUUCAAAUAUACACAGGACGGUCCACAGAUGACGUGGUAAACACGACGCAGCCUAAUUUUUUACGUAGAGUGGGUAACGUUUACGUGCCACGUAGGAGGAUCCGAACCCGUAGGCUCGGUAACGGCUCUCUAACGGCGCGAAGCCGUUAACCCUACCGUUUAGUCGACGUGACGGCGCUCCGUUACUUAGCGGCGUCGGUGGUUCGGCUCUCGGUGUCAUGGAGACGCACACGACCACCUUUUCUCUUUUAUUUUUUUUAAUUUUUUUUAUCCGUUGAAAAAGUAUGUUUCUCUUUCUAAGAUAUUCAGAGUAUAUUUACCCAGGCUAAUGCUACUAUCCUAUUAAUAGGAUAAGAGCACUUGUCCUAUCAAGUUGUUCUUGAUGAUCGAGAUUUCGAAUCGAUGAUCGGAGCUGUUGAAGUUGAUCUAGAGUAUUUGAAAUAUCUUGAAACUAAAUUUCAUAAAUUUUGAUAAUGGUUUACAUGGUGAUCAAAGUGUCGUAAAAUCGACAAUUUUUGACGGCCUAUAUGAGCCGUUUGCUUGUUUAACGGUGUAGAGCAAUCCAAAUUGCUUGAAUUUUUGAUAGAAAAUUCUUUAUACUAUUUAGAUAAUGUUUGAUAACUUUGAUUACGAACUGAGAAAGUCUAACCUCUAUUUUAAGAAGGUUAUUCAUUUAUGACCAUUCAUUUUUCAACUCUUAAGAUGAACUUGAUAAUGAUUUUUAAAUAAUACAAAAUUUGGUUUCUAAAUAUUUCUAAUUGUGUAGAUCAACUUCAACGGUGCCGAUUAUCAAUUUGAAAUUCCGAUCAUUCAAAUCGACUUGAUAGAACAAGGGUCCCAAUCCUAUUAAUAGGAUAGUAGCCGGACCCUAUUUACCCAAACAAAAACUAUUAUUCAUUUUCAUCUUUAAUUAUUUAUAAUUAUACUUAUAAUAGAGUAUUUGGAAAGAUAAUAAUAUUCUAGUGUUAAUUUUUUAUCAUUUCAAUCUUUUAAAUUAUAUAGUACUAGAGUUAAUCCUAAACUAUCACCAUUUUGCCAAAUCAUGAGUUCUAAUUUCAUAUUUAGUAUAUGCGUAUGUAGGGGUGGCAAUCCAGCUCGCUGUUCGCGAGUUAGCUCGUGUUCGGCUCGAAAUGAGCUCGAGAUCGAAUCGCUCGUUUAGUAAACGAACCGAACAAGAGCUGAAAUUUUCAGCUCGUUUGAUAAAUGAGCCGAACAUGAGUUGAGGUCAGCCUGCUCGUGUUUGGCUCGAUAACAAUUCAAAUACAUAUAUUUUAUAUUUAUAUAUAUAAAUAAAUAAUUAUAUAUAUAUAUAUAUAAUAUUUUUUUAUUAUUUGAUUUUUAGUAAAAAAAAAUAUAAAGUUGAGUUUAAUUAUAAAAAGAUUCAUUUAUAAGUAAAGUUUCAAUCAUUAGAUCAAAAUUUAAUUGGUAAGAUUUUAUAAAUUUAGUUUUUUUAUAUAUAUUCAUUCUAAUCCAUUUUACUUACUAUUUGUUGGCCAGCUCGUAAGUCAGUUCGUGUUCGACUCGUUUAUUAACGAGCCGACCACGAGCUGAAUUUUUCGACUCGAUACUUUAACGGGCCGGUUCCUGUUCGGCUCGUUUAUAAACGAACCGAACAUAAGCCAGCCCCAGCUCGCUCGUGUUCGGCUUGUUGACACCCCUAUGCCGAUGUGCAUGUAUUAAAAGUGUUUCUGGAUUAUUUUUUAUUAGAUUGAUUUUUGGGGUAAUAAGUAGAAAAUUGCAUAAAGGCCUUAAUGCACGCAAAUACAACAAUUUGUUAAUAACAUUAAUAUAUAUACGGCUUAUAUUAGUAGUGACUAAUUAAAUAAUAAAUAACAACAUUAUAAUUAGUAAAUUAAUUAAAUUGAUAAACUUAUGUUAGUUAACUACAAAUUUAUUAAUUUUGGCAAAAAGGAUUAGAUAUCUUGUCACCUUCUUUCUCCACUGUACUUGUCCCAAUCUACAAUAUUGAGUCCACUGUUUGUUUAGUACUUCAAAAAUUAUUGAAACUUUGUGACUUUUUUUAAUUUCUAAAACAAAUUUUAAUAUGAAUUUANCAAAUUUAUUAAUUUUGGCAAAAAGGAUUAGAUAUCUUGUCACCUUCUUUCUCCACUGUACUUGUCCCAAUCUACAAUAUUGAGUCCACUGUUUGAAAAUAAUACAUUAAAUUAUUGAAACUUUGUGACUUUUUUUAAUUUCUAAAACAAAUUUUAAUAUGAAUUUAGGUGUUUAAUUAUUAACACUAAUUUUAUUUGACCAAUUCACCACCUUACAUGUAUUUCUUCUAUCUCCCAUAAGAACAAAUGGUAGUUGCAAAUUAAUUCAAUUAUUUAAUGUAUUAUUUUUUUUUCUUUUAUUAAGCACUAGCUUAGUUAGGGUAACUCAAUGAAGGUAUUCAAUUGAAAAUAGGAUAAAAAAUAAAUUAAGAGGUCACUUCAAUGCAAUUCUCUUAAACUAACAGUGGUUGUGUGACAAUGACAUAGCCCAAAAAAAAAAAAAAAAACUAAUGCAACAAUAUAUAAAUUUGGAAACUUAUUUCUAACUAAUAUUUCUUAAAUUUAAAAUUGGCACUGCAAAUAUUAUAAGGUCAUGAGAUAUAAUUUCUUUUAUUCCAAAAAAUAAUCUGUAGGCCAAAUAUUAUAUUUAGUUGUAGGAAUCUAGUCGUACUCAUCAUCCACUGAAGUAAACCAAAAAUAUGUGACGGACAAGAUGUUCCUGCAUCCAAAUAUAUUCGGUCUAUCCAGCAAUAAUUUCUACACUAUAAUAUUUUUCUGGGCAUAUGCUAUAUACAUGCUUUAUUGUUGUGGAGCCUUAGGCGGACAGAGAAGGUUAUGUCCGUUUGGCGUCUGUGUACGCGUCCGAACCGACUAAAUUAGCGGUCGCGGGAUAUAACAAAAAUAAUUCCUAUGAUUUGAACUUAACAAUAUACUUUCACCUUAUUGUAAUGUCCUCCUAUAUAUGAUAUUAAUUAUUUAUCUUAUUAUGGAAAAUGAUUUAAAGGUCGCAUAUAUAUAUAUAUAACGAUUUUAUCCAAAUUUUAGGAACCCUAUGAUCUUUUUUCUUAACCAACUUUGCGUAAAAUGUGUAUAAUUUUUUUUUUUUGGACUAAAUGUCAUGUGAAGCUCGCGAAAUUUGAAACUAAUUAGGAGCAAAACAUAUUAAAUAACUGAUUUCUCCAAAAACUUAUGUUAUUCGAGAGCAUUUAGGGGUUAAAAUUAAAAAGGACCAAAGGCAAUUAAUAAUAAGCCAAAAGCAUAGAAACUAUCCAUACUUUUUAACCCCAAGGGAUUGAUUAAUUACAUGCUCAUUUCUAAGAUAGCAAACCACCCUUGCAACUUAACAACAAGCACAUUUAGCACUACAAAAUAGAGCCCAUAAAAAGCCCAUAGUAAGUAGGCUAGGCACUAGAAACCACAUGGGCCAAGCCCAUUAAAGCCCAAAGCCCAUUAAAGGUUGUCGAGCUCGUCACCGCCGCCAACUUGCGGCGAUGCCUGGCUCUGCAAGCGUCGUAGCUUGAAAGACGAGAGCUUCUCUGCUUGCUGCGGUGACAUAUCAUUUAAGCGUAUAUAGUUGUAGGCCCACGCGCCUGACAACGUGCCAAUAGGGGGCCCCAGAAAGUAUACCCAGAGCCCGCUGUAUAUCUUGCUCGCGACCGCGGGUGCCAGCGUCCUUGCCGGGUUCAUCGAUCCGCCAGAAACCGGUCUGCACAACUCAUUGUAGCUCAAAAAAUGUGAACCCUAGGUGAUCUUAAGCUUAUUCAUGUUUUAAAAAAAUAUUGCCCAUAAUAAUAUUUUUAUUAAGGAGCAUCACAUUUUUCUCUCCUCUAUAUUUUUGAAACAUAAGAAUGUAACACUAUGUUUUUGUUUAUUUUUCUUUGGGCUGCCUAAAAGGCGCAUUUUGGGUCCAAAAUAUUUCCAAGCAUGGGAUGAUGCAUUUUUGCACGCUAGACCUGAUAAUUUUUCAAUAUUAAUUAGCAGCCACCAUAAAAAAUAAAAUAAAUGGUGGUUACUAAAACUUAGUUUUCUUUCAUGUGUAUUAUUAUUAUUAUUAUUUUACCCCGCAAAGAUAGAAGUUAUGCAAACUGAGGAGCCAACUGCUAAACCUGCCAACUCUCCCACCUACAAGAUAAUGCCCAAAAAAAGAUUAGAUUGAUGGAAAAGAAAGAAAAAAAAGAGAAGAUAUAAAGCUUUUGAAAUUUGAUUUGAGGAGUUUAUAAUAUACCGCUCUGGUGUCAGUCGCGACCGCUGAAGUGACAAACAUCAUGACGAAGGUGACAACGAUCUCUAUCACGAGUGCCUGCCACUCCGUCCCCGACGGCGUCGUCGUUCCAAGAUUCGUAAUCGGGUGGAGCACCUCACGCAGAAUAAAGGCCGCAAUCAUGGCCCCGGUGAGCUGUGCCGACCAGUAAAAGGGCACCUGCAAGCAGCGUGCUAAGAGUUUUAGAACCUGUUCCGAUGUUGUCGACUCGUAACAACUCUUAUUCUUUUGGAAGCUCGAUAUCAACCAUUCGAAAAGAAUAUUAGGUCCAUUAUAACCUUUUCAUCUAAACAGAUAGCGAAUGAAGGACACAUCAGGUAUGAUUUGAUCGAUCUUGGACUUAAUUUGUAUAUUCUAGCACAAACAUUUAAGGAUAUUUUCGUAGGUCGAAAGUUUGGUCCAAAAUGGCUAGAUUGGGUCAGGUCACAUCAGGUGAUCAAAAGAGAGAUUUUGGAUCCCAAAUAAAAGCGAAUGCGAAGAUCGACCCCAAAUCAAAAACCUAACUCGACUUGCUAAAACUCAGGCAUCAAACAAGGUUGUGUCCGUUGGAUCGACUUUAGAUAUAUCCAGCUGUAAUUCUGUAAAUAUCUAUUCAUACUCCUUAUCAACCAAGUACAAAAUAUUUGUCGAAUACUUAGUAGAGAUAUGCUACACAUGCUUUAGUAGACCAACCCAAUUUGACCUAUAAAGUACGUAGUAGUUUUGAAAUUUAGACUAAGUCGGGUUUUGGACGUAAUUAUAACUUGGUUAGGCUUGAUCCUAUCCUGACUCGGUUUAGCCCGACCCAUAGCGAUACCAUAUCUAAUCAACCUGAGUAAAUAAAUGGGACUACAAAUUUUUUAUGACAUUAUUUUUAUAUAUUAUUAAUUAAUAUGGUAGCAAUGCAUUAUUCAUGCAUGUUAUAAACAUUUUCCAAAAAGUAAAUAAAGAAGCCAAAAAACUCUUUUGGACUUGGAAUAAUGGACGUACAAGACAAGAAGUGACUUGUUUGUCCUGGUUUUAUGAUUGAGGCAGCAUUGCAAAUCCUAGUGGCCUAGACUAGACCUUAGCUCUCAUGGCUUUUUUCUUUUUUUUUUUCUUUUUUUCGGCGGGGGGGGGGGGGGGGGGGGUAAGAUGGUGUUUAAAAAUUAUGACUGUAUUUUCUUUCCUUCUUUUAUUUCUGAGGCCGACUGUCUCGUUGUAUAGCUAAGUUUACUAUCUAAAUAAAUAAAACGGUAGCAUAUUAUUUUUUUCUCAAAAAAAUAUAUUAUCAACUGUAACUGAUGCAUCUGUAAAUAUCAUGCCAGCACCAAUUUUAUCCAUCAAUUGUCACCGUCAUAUCUUAUGCUUUGAUAUCAUUAUAAGUACUUUAUUAGACAGAAAGAAUAGUGACAUGUAUAGCGAAAUAAAGAAGAAAAAAGAAAAGAAAAGAAAACUUUUUCUGAUUUUGAAUAUGUAUAGAUGAUCGAUUAAGAUAAAAUGACAUUUGAUGGGCAUUAGUUUCUUUUUUCUUUUUCUUCUCUUCACCCUUCACUCUUAGAUAGAAACAUGUUACCUCAUCGAGGCUUAUUUUUACUUUAUUUUUCUUCCCCUCUUUUUCUUUUCCUACUUUGAAAAAAAUGGUUCUCUCUUCUAAUUAUAUUUUCACCUCAUCCAAAUAGAGCACAAGGUUUUUCUUUUUUUUUUUCCCCUUGAUCAACAAUCAAAAUAUUUGUGAAAAUUAAAGUACUAGAUAAGAUGAUUGUAGGAAGCAACGGUGAUGCGCGAGUUAUAUAUGCAUAUGCACCGGAUAUAUAUAAUAUAUAUAUAUAUAUAUAUAUAUAUAGUUGGACUGGACUACUAUUAGUAGCAAAAUUUUAUUUUUGCUAUCAGUUUUUUUAGCGUUUGGAUCAACUCUUUUCAUUAUUUCUAACCAUCGGAUUAAAUAACAUAACCCAGUGGAGGCCACUCAACCCUAGGGGGACCACUCAACUCUAACCGACUAAUAUCAUCCGACCCUAUAAUUUUUCAUCGAAGAGUUAAAAAUUGAUAGCAAAAAGAGCGUUUUACUAUUAAUAGUAUUCCAGCCUAAUUCUCAACCUCUCUCUCUCUCUCUUCUCAUCUAUUCUCUCUCUCCUCUCUCUCUCUCAUCUUCUCUCCUCCAUCUCUAUAUAGAUAUAUUAUAUAUAUAUAUAUAUAUAUAUAGAGUUGAGCUAUGAUACUUUUACAAGUAUCACCAUCAUGGUGCUAUUAGGUUUUAAGCCAUUGGAUCUAUUUUUUGAUUAUUAAUAGCUCUUGGAUUAAACAAUAUUUCACCUACCACCACCUACCACCACCUACCACCAUCAUUUCAACCUCACAUCUCUCCAUCCAAGGGUUAAAAACACACAAGUAUCACCCCUAUGAUUCUUUUACAAGUAUUCUAGUCCUACUAUAUAUAUAUAUAUAUAUAUAUAUAUAUGCAAUAAUUUCUCCUAUAUGUAUGUAUAGGUAAACCAAGAAUUUCCAUGCAACAUACAAAGUGAGAUCUUGGGCAUGCAUGUUGAGUUAUUCUCCAAAAAUUAUUCCUUGUCCCAUGUUUGAUAUUGGCCCAACUUUUUUCUUUGAAAAAGACACAAUAAUCAAGGCCUAUUUUGACUACUUUUUAAAGUGCUUUUUCUCUUUAGUCUAUUUAUCGAAAUCUUUUUUCUCGAGGAAAAGUACUUUUUUCACUAAUUAAUAAUGCCUCUAGAUACAGAAAUAACAUAAAUAACAUCUAAAAUAAAUAAAUCUAGAUCGUUGUGGUGCGGUCAAAUUUCGCAUUUAGACUGUGCUCAAGAGUUUAAUUUGUUGGCUUAGAACAUAGACUUGAACUCAGGAUGUUCUGCUUAAUUUAAUACUAACUCGACAACGAUAUUUCAACAUAUAUAACAAGAGAAAUGAAAAGUAGAUUAAGAAAUUUAAGAUGGGCACCAAAUCAAGUUGUUAGUCAAUUGUACUAAUUUCUUUUUUUUUUCUUUUUUUUGAGAGAUAGGUAGCACGCUACCCGCUUCGUUUAUUUCAUUUGGAAAUAAACUUAGCUAGAAAUGUAAAUCAACUAGGAUUCGAACUUGGGUCUCGGAUACCAGCCACCAAAUCCUUUGCCACUUGCUCUAGGGACGGUCGGUGUCAAUUGUACUAAUUUCAAUAUAUAUUUUGUGCAAGUUGUUGGAAUAUUCCAUCUUGUGUCUAGUUCAUAUAUGAAUAAUAAUCUCAUGCAUUGUCACUAAGAAAUUGUAUAGAGAUAAAGGGCUAUCAAUUUCUUAAUUAAUCAUUUUUAAAAAGACACAAUUGAGUAGGUUGUGAAGUCGAUCUCCAUAAAAGUGACUUGCAUGUUUGAAUAAAAUAUUAUGAGCUCUUUCUAUGCUUAAACUUAAUUGCAACAUCAAAGUAGUUCAAAGAAAAAGAAAUAUAAUUAGAGUAUAUAUAUAAACUCUAUGAUUAGUUUACUUAUCACGUGGGUAGAUAAGUUAAAUUAGCGGGUACAAUUAAUUCCAUAUGGAUUUAUGGGUAUGAUUAAUAUAUUAGGUAGUUAUUUAGUUAACUGAGUCCUGUGUAGUACAUGGCCAAAUUAAUGAUAUACCCACUACAUAUAAGUUCUCUACCACUUUAUCAUAGUGUCAAUAAUUUCUCAAAAAAAUUAUGAUAAGAAAUAAGGAUCUCGAUUCAUAGUGUUUAAUUAAAAGUUAGAUAGUUGUUGAGUGUAAGUUUUAUCUUAGUCGAGAAAUUAACAAGGAAAAAAAAAACCAGUGAUGUAUGCUGGAAAGGAAUAUGAUUUAAGAUAACUUUUCAAAAGGAAAAAAAAUUGUCAGAGAAAUGGAAAUGUUGGGUGAAAUUUAACAAGAAAAGGUCAUCAAUUGUUUUCAAUGACAACUUGUUAUUUUUAUGAGCAUUUAUAUCGUCAUGUCCUAUCGUCCACAGGGACGUAGAGAGAGGACAGAGAGAGACAUUGAAAGGGGGGAAGAUAAAAUUGAUCCUGACAAAUUUGACGAGGUUUAAUGAAUCUGUUCUGUCAAUAACAAUUUUUACACUGAAAUAGAGAUCGAGAUCAGAGCGAGGGUCACAGAAAACCAACCUGAAUCCAAGGGAAUUGCCCAUGCUUUGAGACAGCGAAGGCUAGAGUGACAGCGGGAUUCAUAUGCGCGCCGGAGAUGUGUCCGACGGAAUAUAUCAUCACCGUCACGAUAAGCCCUCCCGCGACCGAUGCACCGAGCUGCGAAAUGCGGGUCGAAUCAUUUUUGCUAAGCGCGGCCGCGCCGCAGGUCACAAACACCAGCAAGAAAGUAGCAAUAAUCUCAGCCACCACCUGGAGAGAAACGUAAAAGUACUCCGAUCAAUAUAUGUUUCAAUCACUUCAUCAUACAUGUAUGAUCCAAAACAAGAGCCAAAAAAGUAGCUACAUAUGGAUUAUCCAGUGUACAUAAAUACCAUACAUAUAAGACCAAUUCAAGUACUUAGUGCUAUGAUGUUAUAUCAUAUCAAAUGAUAAAGAGAGAAAGAAGUGAAUUGAGUGCUAGACCUUUCUGAGGAGAAAUGGAGGGAGAUACUCUCUAAAGGAUUUUUCCUGGUAGAGCACUCUUGGGGGGAUGGAGGAGCUUUGGAUUAUGUCUAUGUCAUGGAUCUCAUUGGAGUAGUUGGUUCUUGGGUUUGAAGCCAUAUUAUCUCUCUCUCUCUCUCUCUCUCUCUCUCUCUCUCUCUCUCUAAGAACCAAAUGUAUUGAGCACUCUCUAGAGAUGUGUGAGUUAUGUUUUGUGGUCUUAGAGAGUCCCUUUAGGGGAGUAUUUAUAGAAGGGAGGGAGAGUGCACUAAGUGGUGUUUCAUGGACAAAGGAAUCUACCACUCGCUCUCUCUCUCUCUCUCUCUCUCUCUCUCUCUCUCUGUGUGAGAGACAGAAGCACAAGCACAGGCACAGAUGCAUGCACACUAGAGGACCACAUAUACAACCAUCUAAUUAAACAACUUUGUGGUAUAUGAAAAAGGAAUACAAAUAAUCUUAACACUUCCGCUUAACUAUGUAUACGAAUAGAGUUUGAAUGAACCAUAUCAUAUACUCGGUUCAUUGGACAAAGUACAUCCUAAAAAUAGUAUUAUAUAUCACUCUCAGUUACAUACGUUAUAUAUCGAGAUUUGAAGAGAAAAGACGUACUAGACGAAAAUUUAGCCCAUUAACUGAAGGACAUAAGGAAUUAAGUCAAUUGAUUCAGAGCAGUUCUAACACAAUGCAUGUUACUUAUCACAUCAAUCAGUUUAAUAGAAAACAACUUAGGAAUAAUCUUAGCAUUGUGAUGACGUAACAAAAUUAACCCAGAGCGCCCAAAAAGAGGGUCUAAUUUGAACCUUUUGAAAAGUUCUAUAGAAAAAGCACUUCUGCGAACACUCGAACCGACCCGAACAGGCGCUUGUCCUCCACAACCGACCCACUUGAAAUAUAUUCUCUUUACCACUGCAUAAGAUGGCAACAUUGGGUUGGUGAUGGCUUUAAUUACUAGGCCUAAUGUGUGAAAAAAUGGUUAGUACGUGUUAGGCCCACACAUUUAGUGGCGAACGAUCACGCACCACUAACGUUUUGUGAUCGAUGUUGUGGGUAGGCAAAACGCGGUUACAGGCACACAAACAAGUUCCUUACGGUACGUUGUUAAGAAUAUUGGUUCUAUAUUAAACAGCACUUCGAAAUCUAACUUUCUACAUGUAAUCUAAAAGAUUUUUUUAAUGCAUUAACUUAAACUUUCGGCUGGUUCGAGUGUUCUAACAUGGUACGUAUAUCGGAGAUUGAUUGACAUUCAACUUUUUUACGUUUUACUUCGUCCUAAGCUCGCUUGGUAUUGUCUAGUUCGCGCAAUUCGGUUUCAUCUGAUUCUUGUAUUAGCACACACCUGAUCUCUAAUGUUGUCAACAUAAGCUUCAGUGUUGGUGGAUUAAUUAACCAAUGAGUUUUGUUUAUUAACUAAUCCUUUGAAGGAGAUUGUGAAAUAAUUUUUUUUUUUUUCCUGAAAACUUAAGCUGAUCGAUCGUAGAGACAUCCUUUCUGCAUGACAUGAUCAUUCUCCUUAAUUUAUUUCUUUUUUUUUUAUCCCUUUGCCCCAAAAUGGUUUGAACUCAUAGAAAAUCCUAUUUUUGGAGGAUUUGGAGCUCCAAAUUACCUUAUUAUUGACAAAUUCUUAUUUCUUAUCAAAUUCUAAUUAAAACCAAUAUUUGUAACAAAAUUUGAUUCUAAAUAUGUAGACAAAAGAUCAGAUAGUUAGAAAAGAUAAUUGUAUGUAUAAAAAUUUUUUGCACACGGAUAUAUCUUUCACAAAUUUUUACCCAAGUCCUUUUUUUUUUACCAUUUUUGGCAACGUAGGGUGGACUUUUAUACAGUGACAUUUCAUGUGGAUUAAAAGAUAAAAAUAGUGAUGUGAUCACUCCACAGUGAAAUAAUGUAGCACUGAGACUCCACCAAACAUUGACACGUACGUGUCCCCUUUAUAAUCCUAAGAUAAUACAUUGUUGAUUAGAUCCAACGCGUGAUUAAGCACAUUUUCAAGUAGUUAAUUAAUUAUCAACGCAAAUUGUUUUGUAUGGAAAAUUUGUUGCUUAAUUAGUUCCUUGACAAUGGCAUUGAGAAGUGCUUAGUUUAAUAAGGGCAUUUAGUGGCCCAUUAGAAAAUAAAAAGAUUAUUAAUAUUACCACAAUUACUAAAAAAGUUAUAUUUUAUUAAUGGGUGCUCAUAAAUCACAAAGCUGAGAAAUAAAUCUAAUAAUCACAUGAUUUGUGAAACCAGCAAUAAAAUAUAGUCGUGCGCAUAAAUUUGUUUAUAGAAAGUUUGUAGAACUGCUUGUACACAUUGUGUUAUGCUAAUUGUAUUAAUUAUAAAAGCAUGCAAAUUUUUUUAACAUGUUUAUCAUUCUACUCGAUCUCUCGUUGUUACCUGUAAAAUUUCAACUCAAUUAAGUUCUUAAUUCUUGUAGAUCAUUUUUAGAGUUUAUUACACAUUUUCAGUCCCUUAAUAGAGUAAACAUAAGAAAUAAAUUAGUACGUAGUUGACCUAAACUUUAGAGAUUAAAAAUGUCAUCUAAUAUGCUACCUCGAUCGAUUAUCUUAGUAGGAAAAGUCAUAUUGAAACAACUUUCUCGUCAUGCACAGUAAUAUUAAUUAUCUUAUUUUUAAAAUUAAUUAGAAUAUCUCAACAUGUUGGUGUGGCUACGAUAUCAUAUGUAAUGAUCAAUAUCAAUCGAGGCUACUACUAUUACAAGCAACUAAAUAUAUAUAAAUUGACCUUUCAAUACACAAUAUGGUCCCGAGUACUAGCUUGUUUUCAACUCAUUUAUACUUAUAAGCCAUUAUUAAACAUAUAUACCUAACCAAGGAUUAUUAGGGUGUUAUAAAUUAAGAUAAUUGAUUUGUGUAAGGACUGCUACUAUACAAUAUGUUUUUUUUUUUUUGGAGAAAAAGGUAGCAAGCUACCUGCUUCAUUCAUAAAGUGGGAUGAAUUAAGCGUACAAGUUGGAAGCAACAAUGGCCUCCGAAAAUGGCAAAAGAAGAAAACAUAGAUAAAGGAAAGGAAGAAAAGAAAGAAGGUGAGAACAGGAAGAGAGGGUGGGGGGUUUAGCUAGGUGAAGAGUGAGGUCGGGUCAGUAUACUCCAGUCACGAAUCAUACUGUUGAUGCGUACAACCGAUUGGACAGCGUUUGGGGGUGCGUCUCUAAAGAUGACAGAAUUUCUAUCUGACCAGACUGCCCACCAGGUUGCCGCCAGGUGAGUUAACCCUUGGAAUUUCUUCACAGCGUCAGGGGUUUCCGAUACUUUGGCCCAAAGCUCGCACGCCGCUCCCGUGGAAUCAGGAAGAUCAUCGAGGUCCACCAUAGAGAGUAAGAGGAAGCGAACAAAAAUGCAGUUAGCGAAAAGAUGGUUACAGCUUUCCGGGAGGACCCCACAUAGCACACAGAGCGGAUCUGCGGAUAUGUUAGUUGGUGUAAAACUAACAUAAAUAUAUACUUGGUCGGCAAAUCAUGUUAUCUAUGUCUUUUGUAUGCUUCUACAAACUAUCUUGUCAAAUUGUGAAAGUAGAAAUUUGAAUAAAUUAUCUCUACUCUUACUAGGAGCAAAUUGGAGCUUUUUUAUUAAGUCUUUUAGCCCUCACAUGAAAAAAAAGGAUUAAAUUACGCUAUUUUGUCUUUAAGUUAAUCUUAAAAUUUAUUAGUUCUCUGAACUUCAAUUUGUUGCAAUUAGUGUAUCAAUUUUUGAUGUGUUGCCAUGGAAUCCCUCAUCAAAAUUCAAUUAGCAUGUAAACUCCGAGAAUCAUUGUGUCAUAGUUGUUACAUUCACAAUAAAUUUAAGAAUGAUCAAGUUGCAUAUAUAUAUAUAUAUAUAAACAUAUAUAGUUUCUAAUAAUUAAUUAAACAAAACAACCAACCAAGAGAAAAAAGAAGAAAAAAAGAAAAUCAUUAAAGUUGAUGAGCAGGGCUGCUGUGUUCUCAGGAGCACGGAGGCCUGCGUGCUCCUGAGCUGUUUUCGAUGAUAGAAUUUUCGAAUCGACGAUCGGCUCCGUUAGACUUGAUCUAGCGCAUUUGAAGUUUCUAGAAAGUAAUUUUUGCGAUUUUUUGAUAUCAUUUAUCUAGUAAUCGAAAGGAUUCAAAAUCCAUAAUUUUUAAUGGUUGAUAUCUGCCGUGUUCAAGUUUAACGGUGUAGAAGUAUUCAAAUCAGAUGAAAUUUUGAUACAAAAUUCUUUAUACUAUCUACAACAAGAUCAGUAUUUCUGAUCGAAAAUUUUAAUGCUAUAUCACCACUUUUUAUAGGAUUUUUAUUUUCAGCCGUUAAAAGUUAUUGAUUUUGAAUCCUUUCGAUUGCUAGGUAAAUGAUAUUGAAAAAAUCGCAAAAAUUAUUUUCUAGAAACUUCAAAUAUGCUAGAUCAAGUUUAACGGAGCUGAUUGUUGAUUCGGAAACUCCAUCAUCGAAAACGGCUCAGGAGCACGGAGGCCUCCGUGCUCCUUAGAGCACAGCAGCCCUGCUAUAUAUAUAUAUAUAUAUAUAUAUAUAUAUAUAUAUAUAUAUAGAACUAGGCUACUAUGCUAUUAAUAACACCAAGUCAUUGGUGCUAUCAAGUUUUUAGCCAUUGGAUUAAGAAAUGUGUGGUUAGGAUGAUGUGGGCCCCCUAAGGUUGAGUGGGUGGUUGGUUGAAUAGUAUGAUCUAACGGGUGAAAAUGAUCAAAAGAGUAGAUCUAACGGCGGAAAACUUGGUAGCACCAAGUGCUCCGUGCUAUUAAUAGCAUAGUAGCCGGACUCUAUAUAUAUAUAUAUAUAUAUAUCAAAGUUGUGUGGCAUGCAUGAAAUGUUUCCAUCAGUUAAUGAGGAUUCAUCUUUUCUUAUCCACCACAAUAUUCUUCAUCAUCUCUUGUUAGGCGCUUUGUCAUUUCAAACAUGGCAUUUUUAGACUUGUGCACAAUUGCACUAUUGGGAUAUACAAGUCAUGGUUGCAAUGAUGUUUAAUACUUCUACUUUAAACCUCAAUUGGGGCUCAUUCCUAUCAAUUUUUUUCACAAGUCACGAUAAGUGUUAAGGCUAUUUUUGAGCCAUUCCUAUGAAAUUGAUUCGGUGGGCAACACAAUAAAGUAAUGGAAUAUAAAUCUUUGACUCCUAUUUGGUAUCAUAUAUAUAGCUGCUUUUUUCGCUUUUUAAAUAUAAAUUUUUAUUUAACGAACUAUUCAGUAACAACUGUUAAUAUAUUUUAAAUUGUCAUUUGCAUCCGAUAGGAUUGCAUUACAAAUUUAGCCAAUGAUUAUGUAAAAUUCUUUAUUUAUUACAAAGAUUAAUAGAAAAGAUCUAAUUAGUUAAUCACAUAAACCAAAUAAGGCCCUAAUAUUUAACUCUCUAUUCUACUUAGCAUCCUUUUCAUUUGUUCAUUGUUUCUAUUAUCCUUGUACACAUGUUCUAUUGAUUCUCAAUAUUGUGUGGUGCUUUGUGUUAGCUAGUGUAUUCUCCCCAAAAGUUCUAAAUUUGUAUCCUUUUUUUAAUUUCAAAUUUAUUUCGCCUAGUUUUGGCUUUUUUCCUUAGCAAUUGCAGGUGUAGUACAGCAAUUCCUCCAAUAGAAUGACUGAGUUACAGGAAAGUCAACUUUCCAUGGAACUGACCCUGCAGGUUUCAUAUGCUUUCAUCCACUUUCUAAAAGCUAAAUUAUGAAACCUUCUCCUUGGCUCCACCCUCUUUGGAGUAACUCUUUAGAGACCUCUUUUAUGGCUAUCAAAUUGUUUACUUAUAAUAUUUCGGAGUAUAUGUUUCAAAUCAAUCAGCAAAUGCUAUUCGUGAUUAUCAGCGCAUUAGCAGCCUUCGAGGAGAUUACUUAUAAGGGUCUUUGCAGCUGCACUCACCCAUUUUAAGAUAAUUGAGUCUUUUCCUCUAUUCCAGCCCCUUCAGAGUAAUAUUUUUGGUAUGGUGCUACAAACAAACCCCAAUGAUCAUAUAGUCCGGCUACUAUGUUAUCAAUAGCACCAAGCGCUUUGCACUACUAAGUUCUCUGCCGUUAGAUCUAUCCCUUUGAUCAUUUCUAUCUGUUAAAUCAUACUAUUUAACUAAUUACCUACUCAACUCUAGGGAACCACUAUCAUCCUAGCCACACAUCUCUUUAUCCAAAGGCCGAAAAUCUAAUAGUACUAAUAACUUCGUGCUAUUAAUAUAGUAACUUAGUUUUAUAUAUACUACUUGAAUAUACGUGCAAAUACGCAUAAUAAAUAUUUUAAUACUUAUCUUAAAUUAACAUAAAUUUUUAGAUUAUAUUUAUUCAGAACGCGUGUGAAGAAAAUAAAUCAUCCGAUCGAUUGAUAGAAAUUUGGAAAAGUAUAAUUUCUUUUUUCUGUUUAUUCAUAUGGAUUGUAGUAUUUUUUUCGCUAAAUAAUAUCUGCCAAUAAUUAUUUUAAUAGUUAUUUCAAAUCAAUAAUAAAUUUAUGCAUCAUAUUUAUCCAAUAAUUUACAAUAAAAUUUAAUUAUUUUAAAAAUAAAUUUAUCUGUCAUAUCUUAAUUCAAAUUCAAAUAGUUACUACCCGCUAUAAUUAUAUAGUUAUAUUUCUAUUAUAUACAUUGAAUAUUUUUUCUAUUUUUGAAUUUUAACAGAUGCAAAAUUUAAGUAUUUAUUUUAAACUAAAAGUAUAGAAAUUUUAACUCACGUUUAGCUCAAAUUACAAAUUUUGAUCUUGAUCCACUUUAAUUAAUUUUUUUUAAUUGGGAAUUCAAAUUUAAUACCUAAAAUUAUAUUUAAUUCACGAUUUGAACUCAAAUUUUAAUUUUAAAUUUAAAAAUCAUAAAUUUAAUUUUAAUUAUAUAAUUAAAUUUUAAAUUAAAUUAGAUAUAUAUAUAUAUAUAUAUAUAUAUAUAUAUAUAUAUAUAUAUAUAUAUAUAUAUAUAUAUAUAUACACUUGAAAUUAGAUAAAUAUUUAAAAUUAAAUAUAUAUACUUGAAAUUAAAUUAAAAUUUGAUUAUUGUUGCAAUCAAUAAAAAAUUAAUAUAAUAACUAAAUAUUAGUAGAUAGAAUUGAGAUAAUCUUAAAUAUUCAAUAUAAAAAGAAAAGAUAUUGAAUGAUAUAAAAAUAUUUAACACAAAAAAUAUUAUUCAUUAGAGAAAAAGAGUUAUUAAAAGUUUUUUACAUUAUGUCUCUAUUUCCAUCCGUUUUAUUCUUAUUCUUAUAUUUAUAUUCUUAUCUUUAUAAUUUUUAAUGGAUCUGUCGACAGACCGAAAUUUAAAAUACGUGCUUAUAUAUAUACUAGUUGAGUGUACGUGCAAAUGCACGUAACAAUUAUUUUAAUUUAUUUUAAAUCAAUAUAAAUUUGCACAUUAUAUUUAUUUAAAAAUUUAUAAUUUAUAAAUUCAUAUGUUAUAUUUUAUUAGAAAAUAUUUGCAAUAUUCUAUAUAUUUUUUAUAUACAUUAAAUAUUUUUAUAUAUUUUUUGAUUUCUGAUUACCUAAAAUUUAAAUAUGUGUUUUAAACAAAAAACAUCAAAAUUUAAUUCAUAUUAUUUUAAAUUUUAAAAUUUAAUUUUGAUCCACUAUAAUUAAAAUUUUUGGAUAAGAAUGCUAUUUUUUAACAGAUUAAUCAUAACCUUUCGUUCUUAUUUGAAAUUUUUUUAAUGAAGUGAACUGAUCAUUUUUAAUUGAUACAGCCGUUCGUAGAAUUGGAUUUAUAGAUGGAUAAGAAUGCUAUUUUUUAACAGAUUAAUCGAUCAUACCCGUUCGUUCUUAUUUGAGAUUUUUUUUAAUUAAGUGAUCAUACCCGUUGGUAGAAAAUAUAUGGAAUAUUCUUUUAUUUUUUUUGGAUUUCUUUAUAGAUGGAUAAGAAUGCUAUUUUUUAACAAAUUAAUCAUAACCGUUCGUUCUUAUUUGAGAUUUUGUUAAUUUAGUGAUCAUAUCCGUUCGUAGAACAAAAAUAUGGAAUAUUCUUUUAUUCCUUUUUGGAUUUCUUUGUAGAUAGAUAAGAAUGUUAUUUUUUAACAAAUUAAUUAUAACCGUUCGUUCUUAUUUGAGAUUUUUUUAAUUAAGUGAUCAUACCCGUUCAUAAAAAAUAUAGGGAAUAUUCUUUUAUUUUNGAAAAAUUGUAGGGUCAGGAUGAUAUUAGUCGGUUAGAGUUGAGUGGUCCCCCUAGGGUUGAGUGGUCCCCAUUGGGUUAUAGUAUUUAAUCCAAUAGUUAAAAAUAAUGAAAAGAGUUGAUCCAAAGGCUAAAAAACUGAUAGUUAUACAUAUAUAUAUAUAUAAAUAUAAUUUUAAUUAAAUCAGUGCAUGUCGCAUGUGAUUGAUUGUACAUCAAUAAUCUUUGAUGGGACCUUUAAGAGUAAAUGCCUAUAGUUCCACUCACCGACUAUAAGAACAUUGGACCUUCUCUUGGCUCCGUUCUUUUAAAAGUAAUGCUUUAGAUACCUCUUAUGCGACUCCCUCAAACUGCCACCAAUAAUGCCGCAGGAGUAUUUGCUUUAAACCAAUCAGCGUGGAUUACAUGUGAUUGUCAGCACAUCAGCAAUAUUUGACAAAAUUAUUAUUGAGGGUCUCUGUCGUUGUAUUCAUCCACUUUAAAAUAAAUCCCUAUUCAACGCAUAGUCCUCACAUGAGAAGAGAUUCACAUUCCUGAUCUAGACCACAGUGUUACAUUCAUGGACCACCCUGACACAUGUUAUAGUGCAACAUGUGUGGUUUUUCCCUCUCAAGUCAAUUUUGGAAUCCAGUCACAUAACACAUUGAAUCAUUACAAAUUUGAUAGUAUUUAUCCAUUUAACAUUUCAACUUCUUUUGAUUGAUCAUGCCCAAAUUAAGAAGCAACUUGGCUAAAUAUUUGGUGUGCUCCACAGAUUGCAAAAAAUUUGAUGGAUGUGGUUCAUUUGUGGCAUAUAAAUUGUUGAUGUUGAGAGCACCAGGAAAGAAUAAUAUUGAAAGGGAAGUCACUGGAUAGUAGUUGCUUGGUUAUUACACUACAUUGGUCCUCCAUAUACUUCAUUUUCAAGUUGGGUCCACAAUAUUUAUGUUUGGAGGCCAGCGUCGUGCCAUUUUCGAUGAGAUCGAUCUUUUGUACAGCAUGGCAUGCAUUUUAGACAGCCCUACGUACGGCUAACCUCCCAUAUUGCAGGAGGUCCAGAGUUCAACGGUUGCGUGACUCUCUCUAACAUCCUACGAGAUCAAUCCUUUGAUUGACACAGUACGUAUUAGCACCAGUCCUGACCCUCUGUUUGUAUGCGACAUGCAUGACUUCCAGAAGUAAAAAUAUUUGCAUUAUUACUGAACGGUUUUCUACCAAAUCGGUCGUUUCGGUGAGAAAUGGAUCACUAGUACUGCGCAUUUGAAUGUGGUCCAAACAGUACCAUUAUUCUGAAAGAAAGAUAUGUACAUCCACUGUUGUGUGGGGCCAAAAUGGUCAACUGUGAGAGAGAGAUAAGAAUAUAUGUUACAAUGGGAGAUCAUAAUAGUCCACUACCUGAGGAAAAAAACAUUGGCAGAUCAUAAAGUACUGUAGUUAAGGUGGACCUUCUGAUGGUUAAAGAAAGGCCUAGAAUGUGCCACGUGGAGGGAGAUAGUCCAGGGAGAAAGGGUUCACCUGAGUCCUACUUAAAGCUGGUCAUGUAACAGCUCCAACUAUUUUGGGUUUUAAAUGGGGGGUGAAAGGGGAAACUAAUUUUAGAAACAAUAACAACAGUUAGAUUAAAAUUAUUAAAUUUGGUCACAUUCGAUCGAUCAAAAAAUAAUUGGAUUCAAUCAAUCAUUUUGUUUCUCAACAAUAAUCUGAUCUACAAGUUUCGUCACAUUUAAUUGGGGCAAUUACUUAUAUACCCCUAAAAAGUUCCCGACUUUCCGAUUUACCCCUCUUAGAUGACUAAUAUUGAAAAUAUCUCUUUACGUUCCAAACUCUGUUAAUUCUGUAAAAUUACUAUUUUGCCCUUUCAAAUAUACCCUUCCACCAUCACUGAUUUUCUUAUUUGCCCUUAAAGUCAUUGGUACAAAAGGUAUUUUGACUUUUGGUCUUUUCAAAUAUACCCCUCUACCGUUACCAACAUUUCUUAUUUCCCCUUAAGUUAAGGAAAAAAUUAGUAUUUUAAUUUUUUUUUAACUGUGAUAGAUAUUUAACUCAUAUUUAACCCAAAUUAACUUAAUAGGAGAUAACUGCGGGGAUAUUUUGUAAUAACGGUAGAACAUAUGAAGGGUAUUUUAGAAAGAAAAAAAAAUAGGAGUAAAUCGGAUAUUUUCAAAUGUAUGAGAAAUAUAUAGGCAAUUAUCCCCAUUUAAUUAGUAGUAUUGCAUAUUAUUUACCGUUCCAUCUUGUAUAAAAGAAUGAACUAAAGUUGGCAUUUUUCACUUUAUUUUGCAUAGUAUUUAUGCCUCUCUUUAACCAACACAUCCUAACUCAAUCAAAAAUAGAAUGUACUAUUCGAAUUUAAUUUCUAAUAUGUUCAUACUUAUUUUAGGACAUAUCUUACUUUCCCAAAGAAAGAACAAAAAAAAAAACUUGAAAUAUUUUGUUCUUGAAGCGAUCUGCUUGAUUUCUAUGUAUUUUUUUCUCAACUACAAAACAACUUUCAAAUACAUAUACAUAGCAAUUGUUUUUCUGGGUCGAUAUACAGAUCGACCUAGAAUCAAAAUAAUUCAUCCAAAAUAAGGAGUUAAUAUACAUUAUUUUUCUUUUUUCUCAACCUUGAAAGAUUUAUCCCUGGCCUAAUUAAUAAACCUAGGCAAUUAAUAAAGGGAAAAAGGGCAACUAUAAGCAUGUGGUGCUGUGGGAAAAAGCACUUUGGUCCUAAUUGACCAAAAUGCAUAUGUGUGGUGAGUGAGGUGUCACAUGUGGACUCAACAGUAAUGAAAAUAUAUAUAAUUAAUUGCACUAUCUCUCUAUGUGCUUUGUACAGUGAGUGAAAAAUCACUUUCCUAACAAGUUAAUUAAUCAAAUUGUGGCAUAUUAAAUUAUUUGCUGAAUAAAAUUAUUUAAAUAUUUUUAUGUAAUAACUUAAAUUUCUAGAGAAUAACAGUCAUUUACAUAUUAUUUUAUAUAAUAUUAGAGUUAGAGACGUUGUGUUCUGAGGUUGGUAACUUGAGCUUUUGGGAAAUAAGGUUUAUACAUUAUUUAACAUUAGUGAAGCCAUAUUAAUAAAUUAGAUGGUAUUCAAUUUAAUUUUAUUUUAAAACUAUUUUUAGCUUUAUAAUUGUGAAUAAUCUUACGUAGCAGGUAAUUUAAAAUAUGGUUUUUUAAAUAUAUAUAUAUAUCUAUCUAAAGGUUCUAUUGCUAAUUACUUAAUUAGUUCGAAUUAAGUCACCCUAGUGCGUACACAACACAGGGUAGGAGAAGUAAUUAAUCACGCGUGUUUUCAUUUUUUAAACCUCAAAAUUCCUUUGGAGUUAUAAUUAAGUUAUAUAAACCAUAAUCACAUGCAUUUAAGUAUAGUUACUUAUGACUCUUUUAACAUUUUUAAAAUACCCACAGCAAUUUUAUUCAGCUUAAUUUAAAUAAAUUGCGUAAGUCUUUUUUUUUUAAAAAAAAUAACUGCUCAGACUGAAAAUAGAAAAAAAAACAGUUAAAACUAAUCCAGGGGUUAAUCAUGUUAAUGUAUUUUGAGAAUAUAUGUUUGUACAAAAAUAUCUCUUUGUGAUGAUGACACAUGAUAUUAGAAUAUAUAUCUAUAUAGAUGAGGUUUGAAUCCAUUAUCAUGUAAUUAAAAGGAAAAAAAAUAUGUAGUCGAUUCGCGUUGUACGCAUGCAAAUAAUAAAAGUUGUAAUCAUAUUAAAAUAAAAGCCUUUGACUUCGAUAUAGUGUGACCAAGUUUCUACUCAAAACACACAAAAAAAAAGACAAAAACAAAAACAAAAAAAAAGCAUUAAAUCAAGUGAGUGAUUUGAAAAGAAGAUUAAUGCGAGAGUUCGCAAAAUCGGAGAGCUUCGAAUGCUACAUAACUUUUGGAAAGUUAUUUUUCAUGAAACAUUACAAAGUUCCUUUUAGUUCAAAAUAUGUUUAAAUUACUAUGAAAUUCUCCAUGAGGUAUGAAACUUACAUGUUCUUGGACUAAUAAAUAUCUCAUAAUCAUUUUCUUUUCUUUUGUUUUUUUUUUUCAGUAAGUAACUGAUCUUUUCCUCUAAACACCAAAGUAAGAUUCUUUGCAUUAGUUUUCUAGUGAAGGUUUAUUAAUCCCUAUACUAACACUCUAUAUAUAUACGGCGAAACAUUAAUCUAAACAACUACAAAAAUAAUGAGCUUAGAUCGCGACGUCGAAACCAGUUGUUUCAACACAUCACCCUUCACAGUCCAAUAGAUGAUAAUUCAUAAAUAAUUAUCUCUUCAUUUCAUCAUCAAACUAUGUGCAAACUCACACUGGUUAGGUUGAACAUUUGCUUUAAAAAAAAAGGAAAAAAAAACAUAAUAUGAUGUGUAAGUUUAGUCCCUAAUUCCAAGAUCUAUUGAGUUGGACCACAACUCCAUAUUUUGUGGAAGCUAAAUAAAUAAUAGAAGAACUUUUAUAAGAAGAUGAUGACAAGUACUAGAAUAUUUAUAUACAGGAUUAGUUGGUUUUUUGGCCUUUCUAAUAAUAUCUACUUAGUUUUGGGACCAUAACAUUUGUGUAUGUAUUGAUCUAGAAAAAAUAACAUAACCUUUGAUGCUACUCUUUUGUUGUGGACUAAACCUACAAGUUAUAAAUAAACAAAAGAAUAGCUAUAGGUUCCUCAGAAGACACCUUGAUAUUCUGAAUAUAGUUGAUGAAUGAGUUUUAUAUGUUACUAAUUUUUAAUGUAUAAUUUGGGUCACGUUCGAUGUUGUGGCCAUUUUCCUUUUUUCAAUUUUUUGCAGCAAACUUAUAUGCAAUCGCGUAGUAGAGUAGACGACGAAUUUCUUGUAUUAUGUAUAUUUAUAAUAUUUUUUCACUGGCUGUCACAUAUACAAAGUAGAUUCCUCGAAUAUGUUUUAGGAUACAAUUUUAGUUACCCCUAGCAUCACUCUUAAAUUGAACAAAGGAAAAUGUAAGAUAUUUUUUAUGUCCUCAUCCUAGGAUGAGGACAUAUAGUUUUUUUUAAAAAAAAAAACCAUAUUUCUUUUUAAUAACUUUUGAAAGUACUUUGGAUUGUACUGCAUAAAUUAAGAAUUGAAUCCCUAUUGGUACCACGAAUCAAGUUGAAUCAAACAAGUAACCAUUUUAAAUAUUAAAAAAAUUUUGUGUAGAAAUAAUGAAUCGAUCAACUUGAUACUAAACCAACUCGUGCUUAGUUACAUCACAUAUUCUUGCUCCCCAUUGGUAUAAUUUUUCAACUAUUUCUUAAUAGAUGAUGAAACUCCCUUAUCUUUUACAAAUUUAAAUUGUUUUUUUUCAAAAAAUAUUUGAUAUAUUAGCCGCCCUUGUACUAUUGAUUCUAUUUUUUAUUAGAAAAAAAAAAAGGAAAAGUGCUUUUGAUGAUGCUUGUUUAAUGGCAAAGAAGUUUGUUUUCGGUAAGAAUAGUUGUUUUGUUUUGUUCUUUGUUCUGUCUCGGUGGUGAGUAACCCUCCCAUCCUCGUACUUAUAAAAUAUUUUUAAUAAUAAAAAAUCUGAUUCGACAAUCGACUAUAUUAGACAUAAUUUACCUAUUGGAAUUAUUUAGAAAUCAAAUUUUAUAAUCUUGUAACAUUAUUUACUAAAUAAGGCCUUAAAAAUGACUAUUUUAAGGCUUAAUAUGGUACAUUUUUAAGUUCAACGAUAUAGAACAAUCUAAAUUACAUAAAAUUUUAAUAGAAAUUUCUAUUUAACAUCAAUAGCAAAAUUAAUACUUCUGAUUUAAAUUUUGAGUCUUUUAUCAUUAUUUUUUAUAAAAUUUUUAUUUUCCAACAUUUAUUUUAAGGCUCUUCAUUUACCAGGUAAAUAAAAUCAAAAAAAUUAUAAAAUUUAAUUUCUAGAUAGUUUCAAUAAGAUAGAUCAUAUCUAACGAAAUCGAUUACCAAAUUGAAUAUCCAAUCAUCUAAAACAACUUACAAAUAUGAAAGCUUCCCUACCUUUAAAAGCAUAGGAGCCUAGCUCCUCAGUGGUAUAUACCAAAUAUAAUAGUUGAAUUUUAAUAGGGAAUUUUACAUAU
rnacentral:lncRNA from 1 species